rnacentral:lncRNA from 1 species
GUUUGAUGCCUUGUCUAAACAUUCUUAUCUUGUACCAAAAGAAGGAGAUGUAGCUUUUGAGCAACAAAGAAUGGUUCUCUUGAAGCUAGAGCAAUUUCAUCUUCGAGCAAUAAAAUCAACAUUGAUUGUUGAUUUAACUUUUCUCAAGCAAGUUCAGUUAAGUAUGUCUUUAGACCCUCUUGUUCAUGAUAUCAAGAAUAAUUCUUCUAAAUCUCAUGAUGCCUCUAAAUUCGAAUUCAAGAACAACCUACUCUAUUUUGAAGAAUGUCUAUAUGUUCCAGAAGGAGAAGCACAUUUACGUGUUCAUCAAACUCAUCACGACUUUCUAGCAGCAAGACAUUUUGGAUACAAUAAGACUUUGGAGUUGAUAUCUAGGGAUUUUUGGUGGCCUCAAAUGUGGAAGGCAACUGAAGAUUUUGUACAAUCAUGUGAUGUUUUUUCAAGAUCAAAAACUCCUCAUCAUCGAUCUUUUGGACUUCUUCAGCCAUUAUCCAUUCCAGAACAACCAUGGUCUUUUCUUUCUAUGGACUUCAUCACAAAUCUUCCAAGCUCAGGUUUUUAUGACUCUAUAUUUGUGAUAGUAGAUCGCUUCACCAAGAUGGCAUAUUUUGUGCCAUGUACAAAAUCCAUCACGGGUUAAGAAACAACUAAGCUUUUUAUUGAUAAUAUCUAUCGCUAUCAUGGAUUACCAAAGGAUAUUAUAUCGGAUAGGGGAAUUCAGUUUGUAUCAAGAUUUUGGAAAAUUCUUUUUAAGAUUUUACAAAUGGAUAUAAAACUAUCUUCGGCUUUUCAUCCUCAAACUGACGGAUAGACAUAACAUGUAAACCAAGUCUUGGAGCAAUACUUAAGAUGUACCAUCAACUAUCAACAAGAUGAUUGGACAACUCUUUUGCCAUUCGCACAGUUUGCUUAUAAUAAUACGAUGCAUUCUUCUACACAACAAACACCUUUCUUUGCCAUUUAUGGUUAUCAUCUACAACUUGACAUGUUUGAUUUUUCAAAAGUUGAUAAUCCUGCGGCAGAAGAUAUGGCAAAUCGGUUGUCAAAGUUACAUUCAACAAUGAAGGCGUAAUUAAAAGAAGCUCAAGAAUGACAAAAGAUAAAUACGGAUGUCUAUCAAAAGAAACAACUACCAUUCCACAUGGGCGAUGAGAUAUGGUUACUUCGUCGCAAUAUCAAGAUCACUCGUCCUUAUGAUAAGUUGGACUAUCGAAGGCUUGGACCAUUUUCUAUUUCUGUAGAAAUCAAUCGAGUUGCAUAUCGUUUACAUCUACCAGAGUCAAUAAAAAUCCAUCUAGUAUUCCACGUAUCUCUUUUUGAACCAUACAAGAUAGUGGACAUACCAAGAAGAAGACAAGUUCUACCUCCUCUUAUAGAAGUGGAGAAUAAUGAAGAGUUUGAAGUGAAAGAAGUCAUAGAUUCAACGCUACGUCGAAAUAAAUUGAAAUAUCUUGUCCAUUAGCACAGAUAUGAUAUUAGUGAAUGCACAUGGGAGCCAGUAAAGAAUCUUGUAAAUGCAAUAAAGGCGGUCGAGGCUUUUCAUCGACGACAUGCAUCAAAAUCAAGAUAAAAAUCUUCCUUAUAAAAGAAACAAGAUCUAGAUAAGAUAACAUUCUACUUUUAAUCCUUAUUUGUAGCUUCUUUGUAGUUGUAACGCUAAAGAGAUGGAGAAUCAAUAACUAGCGGAUUUGACUCAAGAGCCUUCAUUUGCUGACCUACCAGACAAGACAUUACGAUUGUCACAACUUUCAAGAUGACACAAUCGAGAUGAAGAUCUUCAAGAACGACAUAUUCUUCUUCAAAUAGAUGGUCAGAUACAACGUAUUUAAUAUCACGACCUUGGAAGAGACUCCCGAUAUUUGGUGAUUUUACUAGAAGUAGAAACAACUCCUGAUGGUGUUCCAAAUGUUUUAUUCAAAGGAAGUAAUGAAGGCCUCAACAAUGAUCAAAUAAUUGGGUGGUCUUCCCGCCUUGGUAUGGGACACUACCGAUGGUUGAGAGGCCCUAUCAAUCAUCUUCGAAGAAAACAAAGAUGAGAGUAUGUGGCGAAUAUAAUUUGUCGCAACAUAUGAUGACCGCUCCCUAUGGAACUCGUCCAUAGAAGGGAGGGUAAUGUCAUGGACAUACUCAUGUAAGCUAGUAAUUACAUAUAUAAAUAAGUAGAAGUAAGUAAAAGUAGAUAAAAGUAAGAUAAUUCUAUAGUAUUUGAUAUGGAAGCUUUCUAGAAGCUUUAUAGACACUGCUUUGACUUCAUAGGUGUCUUUAAUUGACUUUUUGGAUUAGAAACGUGGUCAACAAGUUGGCCAUGUGCCACACAUGUUGUUAGCUUGAAGACCAAGCUAAGUAUGUGGCCUACAUGUAAAAAAACUUGCCUUGUAAGUCAAGGCAAGUGUCCUACAAAGUCAAUACAUAUUGGAGGUCCUAUAGAACAUCGCCACGUAGCCCCUAGUUAGAUAGUAUAUAUAGAGACAAGAGUGAAGCCUUCUUCACUCUUGUCAACUACUUUCUUAUUUCUUGUCUAGUUUCAAGAGUCAUCAUGUUUUCUAGUCUUUGACAAUAGCCAUUCUAGAUCAAUAUAUUAUCACCUUUGAUUGAUUUCUAAGUAUUUUCGAGUGACACAAGAGUGUAUUGAGAUUUUCUUCUUUUGGAGUUCAUGUCCUUGAUAGGGAUGGAGGCUAGAGGUUAGAAAUGUCAAGAACAGAGGCGACUGUUGAGAACAAAGGAGUAGUUGAGAAUAGGAGAAUAGCUUAGGAACGUGGUAUGUGGGUCGAUUGAAUAAAAAUUUGGAUUGCUUUAUCAUUUUCCUAUAUUUAUGCAAAUAAAGUUGAAUUUAAAAAAAUUCACAUAAAAGCAAGGAAUUAAAUUCUUAUAAUUCAAUUUUUAUACAACAAUUCUUAUUGUAAUUGACAAUACUUUUAAAAUUCCAAUAAAACUUUGUUAUUCAAGAAUUUUAUUUAUAAUGAAGAUAUAAUAUGAAAUAUAAUAUAAUAAAUAUACUAUAAGAACUAUAAAAACUAUAAAUAUAAAUAUAAAAACUACAUGUAGAUAAAUUAAGAUAAAAACUAUAAAAAAAAUUAAAUAUAAAAAUAAAAAUUUCUAUAUAUAAAACUAUAAAAUGAAAAAAAUGAUAAAACGAUUUUAUUUCUUGUAAAAUUCUAUAUCUUAUAAAACUUUAAAACUUUAAAACUAUAAAUAUAAAAAUAUAAAGAUAUUUGAUAUAACUAUAAAACUAUAAAAAUACUACAAAUACUAUCUACAGUGAUCAAAUACAAACUGUAAAUACUGUCUUUACAUACUGCAAAUACUGUGUUUACAUACUGAUAAUACUGUGUUUUAAAUACUGGUCCAAGUAAGGAGAGGUCUGUAAAGCUCCAGCUUGUGAACUUCCCAACAUAACUUUGCUGCGAAAACUUCUCGUCGCAACUUUCUUAAUCCCCCAAUUGCGCCCAGGAACGUCGUUUCAAGGGCUGUGAGGAUAAGGCGUAAACUAAACCGCUUAGUAAGUCACAUAUCACAAUCUUCUUUGAUGAAUUGCAAAUCAGAAGUACAGACCUGCACUGAAAUCUAGAUUGUGUGGUUGCAAUGACUCGUAAUAAAUGAGCGUCGUCGUCGUCGAUUGUAAUAAAUGAGCAAACCUGUGGAACCAAAACUCCUACAUCCCUGUGAGCGCCAUCAAACCACAACUCAAAAUUCAUCGCACACAAAAAAUAAAAAUAAAAAUAAAAAAACGAAAAAACUCCGCAGCUGUGAACUCACCAUUCGAACACUUCUGCUAUCUGAAAGAACUCCGACACGUUCACUCAACCACAACCUCUUGACUCAAUCGUGCGCUUCGAAAAAAGCGCAGAUGUGACUCAAACACUGCCAAGGAAGAGUCCGGCAAGCAACUGACAAAUUUAGCUACAGAAUUCAACAACCUUUGUUCCCAACAACGAACAGGGAAAGCCUAUUGUAUCCCGCAACAGGGACGCGCGAUUCUGCCACGUACCGCACACUCGUCAGUGAGAGCGACGCCGAAGCUUCUGUGAACGCCGUUGCCACGGAGUUCGUAAGGCGAUUGCUCCGUCUUAAGCAAAAGCCAAUUUCUUCACUGAUUUCACUGAUUGUGAACUGAAAAUGCUGAUUUUAUCAACAAAUCGAAGUUUACAUCGUCUGUAAGAGAAUUACUCGAUUCAUUGUUAUUAGGUACAGGAUGUGAACCUUCCUAUUUUCAAAGAAUCAAAUUUUCAAAUUUUUUCUCCUAGAUAGUGCUCGUCAAAAUCCACGCCCGUUCCAUGUGACCACGUCGUAAAGCUUGCUGAGCCUUCCCCGAUGUAUUCGCCUUCCAAUGCUUCUUAGACUUCAAGUGAUUUGUACAGCAAAAAUGAAAACAUGAGCACAGAAGCAUACGUUGUAGUUGUUGAUAUAUUCAUAAUAUGUAGAUACCUUUUCCUAUUCAGGAAUUGGAUCGGACCAACUCGGUCCUCACGAAGAAUAGAACUCCACUUGCAUUGGGAACGCUUAUGGGAACUCUUUUAGGAACGUCUUCAGAAAACUUAUCGUCAAAAGCCCUCGUCUCCGUGGCGGCCUGUGCUAACGGAUUCUCUUCCAUAUUACCUCAAUCGCUGCCCGGCAUCCAAAGCUACCCCAGGGACAAAGCCCUGAAGGAUCCUGGCCUGCCCCCUACCUACCCGUAGAAAGAUUCGUCCUGCCCGGCUGAGCGAGAGGUCGAGAAGCAUAAUAAGCUCUCGACUCCUUCAUGCCUUUUUUUCUCGCUUUGCAUUCCAGCCACACCCCCGCAUCGCCGGCCGAUUUCUUGCACUCGUUUUCGCCGUGGUCGCAUUCCUCACCCUUGGCCCCCUUGUCCGGUAUGUGCGCACCUCCCUCCCUCCCGAUCUCAUUUUCGCAUCGUUGUUUUGGGUGCAUGGAUGUUGAUUCUAGGGGUUCGGAGGGUCUUGCAGAGUCGAGUGUUGUUACGAUUCGCAAGUUGUGGGCUGUUGAGAUUUUGGAUAAUAGGUGUUCAGACCAUCUCUGCGAGUUUGGCUUCAUGGCUCCACAUGUGGGUUUGUCUGUGCAUUGUGUAACAUGCAUGUGGACCCGUUCGAUAGUGUUAAGGUCCAGUUUCGGUUUGGGUGUGAAGGAGGGGGUGGUGGUUGUUGGGCUGUUGUCUUAAUGCUGAGGUUGUAGUAACCUAGGUAGGUAUCAUUAAAAGAAUGUUGCGUGCUGCUCAUUAGGAGCCAUGGUGAUUAGUGGCCUUCCUCGGCCUUUUCCCUUGGUUUUUCGAGACGGCUUAGUGCCAGGAGGUGAGGCAUUUUUGUCCCCCUUCCCCCACGACUUAAGAGGCAUAUGAACCUUCAUGAUACUCAUAUUGUUUGAGCGGGCGACGAGAUCGUUGGCUGAGAUAAAGGGUUAGAAGUUGCAGUGGUGAUACACCGUGACGGUUGUUGAGGGAUGGCGUGCUGGUUUUGCUCGUUGUCGAAGCCGUAAAGUGACUAAUCGCGUGUCAUAAAGUUUGAAACCGCAUGUUUGGGUGUGGUGUCUGAAGAUCUAUUCCGGAAUGUAUUUCUGGAUCUGUAAGUACACGAGUAGCGCACAUGUUAAAUGUCGAUUGCUAAAUGCUGCCUUUCUCUUCUUCUCCUCUUCUCUCUCUCUCGCACACAGACACACACAGCGUAGGCUGUGGCAAAUCCGAAUGAAUGGGUCAGCGCACGCUGCAUUAGGACUUCUGAGACACACUUCAGCUUAGAGGGAGCUUUAUCACAUUAGGAGAUAAAGACUCAGUCGUCGUGGUGCAAACCUUCUUUGCCAGGAUGUCAGGCUAUGAGGCAGAAGUGCGUCGUGCCCCUCGCAUAAUAGACAGUUCAAAGGCUAGGUCUUUUUUGAGGUACGGACCGACGCUCUCGGUGUAUAAUGUAGCCUGUCUUUAACCAAAAUUUUCGAAUAGAGAAACACCGUCUUCAAUCUUCAGCACGGUCAUUGCUGUGGUUCGUGGCUUAAGUUAUUUUGAAUCUCUCUCGGAUCGCUUGAAUUCCGUGCCUGUUAUUAGUAUAAUUUUUGGAGCAGCACCAGUUGGUGUCACGAAGGGCGGCCCAAAGAGAGUUGCCCGCUGUUUCCUUCCCUCUACUAUCAUACUACCACCAGGAAACCAUACAUGCAGCAGUCUUCGCCUUGCCCGACUGCUUACAUUUAUUUCUGUUAUUUUAUUCUAUUUUGGAAUCAUGAACGAUAUGCUGAACCUUACACCUUGGGAAAGUUUGAUACCAGUCGUGUUUUAUUGGUCCCACCUCAUCCAAGCUUGUCGAUGAAACCACCCAUCCUCUUGUUGCGAUGUAUGUCUAGUUUAUCCUUCGUUUUCGUGGCACGGGACAAUAUUAGGCGUAGGUACACGUACGUGAAUCUAGUUACAUUUGGAAUUUCACGUUAUUGCUGGAGUUGAGAUUAACAUGAUCUUGCACAGUGUCAUUAGAGAGGGAAUCAAACUAUUUGACGCAACACGGAAAACAAUCUCAGGUUCGUAAACCGCUUAUGGCAUGCAGAAAAUAUUUGUUAACUUCUGCUUUACAAUCUGUAUGUGAAUCCACAUAUUCUGAUCAGAUGUGUGGAAUAGUGGAAAGAGCGGCGUGAAAUAGGAUUAUUGGUGUGUCAAUGCGGUCGUGGUCCUCAAGGGAGCCAGCAAUAAAUCUGAUGUACGGUCUCUGGUCCUUUUGCAGGAUCAUCUUACCGCACACUUGUAUAUACAUGAGGCUGCUGUACAUGAAGAGUUUAAUUUUGUACACAUACACCCACGGUGUCUUUGGACUUGGAGCAAUAUAGGUUUUGGAAGUUGUUGAAACUGGGAAUGCGGUAACGUGCUUGGGUAAGAGUGAUAGACUGAAGACGGGGUUCGUUGGGGCUGGAAGCGCACGAAUCAGCAAAACUGGAGAUCGCAAGGAACCUAGGUGGUGUCCAGCACCUGGCUGGGGCCUGGAACUCGUUGGAGAGCCGUCCAGAGAUGAACGAGAGGAGACGACCUUUGUCGGGAUUUCGAGUGGAGGGAAACGAUGAGGAGGUGAUUUGUCCGAAACCGCGGCGACCAACGAACGUGUCGUGUCCUGUAAACGAGUUGAUGAAGCCUCCAAGGCGGCGACGAGGGUACGUGUGGAGCAUGUGUGGUUUGGUGUGGGUAACAUGAUAGGAGAGGUGGUAUUGGGGUGUAGCGUGGUAUGGGGAUGGAUAGAGUGUUGUAUGGGGCGUGGUGCUGUGACGGAACAUGAACCGAGUCGUGGUGUGCUUUGUUGUGGCGGUUGCAGUCAGGCGACGGUGCGAACAGAGGGAGAUGCGGGAUUUGAGUUAUUGGAUAUACUUCUGAGCAAGGUGAGUGAUCAGAGACCGGUGCGGUGUGGAUUCGGGAAUGCGGCGGCGUGCCAUUGCGGUGGGGGGUUUGUUGUAUUUUGUGUGUGUGUGUGUGGGGGGGGGGAUGAGUGGUAAUAACGGGCGUGUUACGUGGUUUUGGGGUAGUUGGGGCAGCGGUGGUACAGGAUGCGGGGUGGUAAUGUGUGGGCGUACUGUGGUGCAGGGUGGGUGUGGGGACGUAUCGAAUUUUGGGUGUUCGCCGCCGUACUUCUGCGGGUCGCCUCCGAGUCGGUCGGGGAAUCCGCUGAUUCACGACGUGCAGUUCCUGCAGAGAGCUCAGUCGGUUCUGUCGCAUCAGGUGUCGGGUCGCGGGCCGAAGUCUUUCGGCGGGAAUCCGAUGGUGCGAGUGGAGGGGUUUGCGUCGGGCGGUGCGGACUCGCGGUCUCGAGUAUCGGCACUUGCGUGACGGUAGGGUGGGGGUGGAAGUGGAGACGUUGUAGGUAGCGAGAGAGAAAGAGAGAGAGAGAGAGAGAGAGAGAGAGAGUGUGAUAUUGGAGAAGGCGAUGCCAGUGGGAGGGCGAAUAGAUUUUUGGUAAUGAUUUUGUGACGCUCCAAACGCGGUCAGAUGAAGUCGAAGGUGCACACAGCGGAAGCGGUGCUGGGUGUGCACGAGACGGCCCAGAGGAAGUCCGAGGAAUCAGGUUUGACUGAUUUGGAGGUUGGACACGCGCGCAGCGGUGUAGAGGCGUGGUCGAAGGAUCCUGGGGGAGGUGGCUUUUUUUCGAGUUUGGAGAGUAUUUUUCUUUUUAUACUUUUUUUAUAGAAUAUUUUUUCGCAUAGUUAUUUUGGAAGUAUUUUCUUGGUGACUUUUUCUUGAAAAUUGGAAAGAUUUGAUCCCUGUACACAUGACGGAGCAGAUGUAGUGAGACAGUUUAGCGAGCAGCGGCGAGGAAACCAGGAAAUCGGUUGAAAGCGCCAUGAAUUGGUGCGUGGCACAGCCCAGCGUGUUGGGUUGAGUGCAUGGGGAGAGAGAGAGAGAGAGAGAGAGAGAGAGGGGGAAUUUCCGGAUAUAGUUGUUCAAAAUUUUGACGGCGUUUAGUUCUGUACAUACACGCGACCCUGUAAUCUUACUGUAAGCGUUUCCCAUUGGGUGUGUCCAUGUAAUUUACGAGCCCUUUGACGAGGUGCAGCCUGUACUACAACAUUUGUGCAAAUAAAGCGUCCAUUACCUUGAUGAAGGAGUUGAGGGGGAAGGGGGUGUGUGGGUGCGGGUUGCGGCAAUGUGUGGGAAUGUUGGUGGGAUGUGCGCAUGAGUUGAUGUGGAGUGGGUUGUUGAAAGGUGGGUGUGGUGGUGAGAGGAGUGUAUAUGGCGAGAGGCGAGUGGAGGUUGGGUUGGGUGUGCGAGAUGUAGACGUGGGUGGCGGUUGAUGCGGCUGUGUUGGGAAGUAGGGGAUGGCGGUGAUGCGAGUAGUGUGUGGUCCGCAUGCUCAGGGCUUUGUGAAUCGGUGAUCCUUGUCGAAAGGGGUUUGGAACCAUGUUAUGACGCUUGUUCAAGUGGGGAUUUGUCAUGCAUCUGUGGGACUACUUCAUUACGAAACGAACACAACAUGAUUGGAUGUCUUUUCCAAGUUGACUUUACGUAAAGAACAAUAUGCUGAGAUAUGAGUUUGUGGUUGGAAGGGUUACAUGCCAUGUUGUCACAGAAUCCUAUUAAGAGUUUUCUGGAGGAAGUGGCUCUUUGGAAGUCAAUCCAUUUGGAAAACAUAUCCUUUGGGUACGGUCUUUCCUAAGAUUUUAAGACUCAUGCCAUGAAAUAGAUAAAGUUGCUACCUGUGUUGGGGUUUACAAAUUCAAUGUGGGUUUGGUAGGAGUUGAGAGGGUUGGGUUGAGAAAAGUGUGGGACAUCUUUAAGUAUCAUUGUAUUCAAGUCUUAGGAUUUGUGAGGAUGUUUACUAGGUCAAAAAUCAUUAAUUAUUUGGUUGUAUAGUAAGUCAAUUUCUUAAAGAAAUUAAAGUAAGAAUGACAAAUCAUAUACUAUGAUAAAGUGUUUGGUGUUAUAAAGUAAAAUAAGAGGUUAGAGACAGAAAUGUAAUUUGGUUAGGAAGUGGAAAUCAGAUCUUUUCUGGGUGAUGGUUUUCAGGAAGAAGAAAACUAAGGAAAGAGAAAUUAAAACAAUUUUUUUUUAAAGUAGAGUCCUUGCAAUUCAAUUUUUUUUGUUCAAGAUGUUUAAGUUUGAAUAUAGUAAAGUCUUGUUGAUUCUUAUUUAAGAAGAAAAUGAAGAGAAAAGUUGCCUUGAAGUAAGAGUUCAAAUAAUUCUAAAAUCCAAGAAAAUAGUUGCAUAAAAAAUAUUUUGAAGAAGUUUAUAUUUUGAGUAGUAGAAAUUAUUUGGAUUUGGAUUUGAAGAAGAGAUUUGAAAGAAUUUAAAGGAAGGACUAUACUUCUAGGCCAAAUUAGAAAAUUACUAAACUUCAAGCAAAGAAGGAAGUUUAAUGAUAAACAAGAGAACAUUAAAGUAAAUUGAGAUGGUAAAAGAAAGAAGUUUUAUGGUUUAAAGCAUAAUAGCUAUUCUUGUUACAAACAUUAAAGCAAUGGAUGUACAGUUAAAAGUGCGAAAGACAACCAAAUAAAAUAAGAUUUGAUUUCAAAUUAUAAAAAAAGUCUAAAUAUAAAUAUUUAAAGAAAAGACUCUCCAAAUUUUUAAAUCUCAUCUCAAUUCAAAUAAAAAAUAAGAAUAAGAAUAAAAAGUUUAAUUAAAGAAUCAAUUUUAGUUCUAAAUUUUUUAGUAAAGAAAAAAAGUCCUUAGUAAUAAUUAUUUUCUUAUUAUCUAUUUUUUUAAUAAAAAAAUAUAGGUAAUUAAAAAAAACCAUCUAGAGUAGUAACAUAUUGAUAUUAAUUUUUACAAAUGCAAUUAAUAUAUUUAUAUACAUGCAAUAUAUAAAAAAUUAAAUUAUAUUUUAAUUAUAAAAAAAAAUUAAAAAUUGUAAUUAGAAACUUAGAAAUAAAUUAUGAUAGGCAAGAAUGUAAUAUUUAAUUAAGAUAUAUAAAAAUUUAAAUAAGAUUUUGCAAAUUAUAUCUAUUGUGAAAUAGAUUUAAUAUCAAAAACUAUUUUUCUAUUAAGUUGUAUAUUUUAAGUAGUAAUUCUAAGUAUAAAUAGUAAUAAUCAAUAGAAGUACUAAUCCUAAUACCUUAUUAUAUAUCCUUAUAUAUUAAGUGGUAAUUAAGUAUAUUUAAUUAAGAAUUUUUUAGUAUUCUAUUUUUUGGCAUAAUUUUUUUUAAAAAAUAGUCCAUUUAAAUUAUUAUGUAUUUAAUAAAAUAAUUAAUAGUAAUAUUUAUUUAAUAUUUAAAAAUAUAACUUGUAGAUUGUUAAAAAAGAAGUAUGGUUUCAUUAAUCUUUAGUCACAUUUCUAUUGAAUUUAUGUUGUAGUAAUUUCUUUCUUAAGCAUGCACUAUAUUAAAUAUGUAUUUAGAUUAAAUAUACAAAAUAAAUGAUUAGAAAUAUAGUUCAAGUUGAUAUUGCUUUAUUUUAAUUUAAACAUAUCAAACAAUAUUAGUUUGUUAAAGAUUUUUGUUUCUUUGCAUAUCUUUUAAUAAUCCUAUUACAUAUAGUAAAAAAUCUCAAGAAAUCUACUAAAUGAUUUUCAAUAACUUCAAUCAACUUAAUAGAUCUCAACUAUGAUUCUACUUCAAUAAGAUGUUUUAAUAGUUUGUUAAUAUCCAAAAAUCUAUAUUGUUGCUAAUAUUGCUAAGUUGUAUUAUUUCUUAAAGCAUCAAUUUCAUCUUAUUCAAUUGUCUUAUUUUCUUGAAUCAUAUCAAGAUUUACUUAUUUUCCUCACAAUCAUUGAAUAGAUCAUCUUGCCACUUAUUUUUGGCUUUUUUAUCUAUUAAAAAAAUACUCAUUCAUCUCUUCAUGUGUGAUUAUCAAAUUUAUUUUUUUGAAUAUAUUUAAUAUUCUAUUAGCUAUUAAAUCAAAUUUGGAGUCUAUUAGCUACUUUGAUAAAUUAAUAUUGGAUACUUUCUAUUUUUUAUUCAUAUCUACUUUUGUAUAGCAAUUUGAAAUAGUUUUUAGUGAAAUUUUUAUUCAAGGCUCUUAUAACAUAUUUUGCAACACCGAAAAAAUAAAGAAGUCAUCUUUGUAUAAUAUUGACACUGCCUUAUAUCAUUUUUUAUGAUUGAAAUUUGAGUGUUUUUUUUGUUAUUUUAUUAUUUUUUUGAUAAAAAAUAAUCAUAUUAGAAUUUUUUAAUUAUAUUUUUUUAAAUUAAUAUUUUUAUUAGAUUUUUUUUUGUCUUCAAGUUCUAUUUUCUACUUAUCUUGAGUAAUAUUAGACAUCUUCUUUUUUAUUGUCCUAUUAUAGCAAAGCUUAUUGAAAUGGCACAAAUGCAAGAACAAAUAAAAGACUUAAUGUUUAAAAUGCAUCAAUUCAAUUUACUGCAACUAGAAGCAAAAUAAUUGAUAAGAAGUGAAGAUAUAGAAAUGAUUAAAGUUACUAAAGUAUCUAUAUCAAAUCAUAUUAUUUUUUCUAUGGUGGAAUAUUAUUCAAGUAUUAGAAAACUAAAAGUUGCCUUAUUUGAGAAGUUUGAUGAUACAAAAUAAAUAUUUCAUAAAUUUAUCAAUUAAGCUAUUUAACUUCAAGGUUACAAAUCAAAUUUAUUGAAAUAUUACUUUUAGAUUUUGUUUUAUCAUGGUAUUCAUCUUUUUUUUAAAAAUAAGAUUUAAAAUUGAAUAUUUUAUAGACUCUUUUGGCAAAGUUUUGACUCAUGUAUGAAAAAUAUGAUAUAACUUAUAUUGUAACUAAUAAGAUUUUUGUUUUUUGACAUAAGAAUCAAUGAAUAAUAUUAUGUAUUUCACAAUUUUGAUAACUUACAAUAAAUAUUAAAUAGCAUGAUAUUGAAUUCAUUACCCAAUUUUUCUAUAGAUUAUAAUAUAAGGUAAAUAAGUUUAUAUUGAACUUAUCUAAUUCUUAGACAUUGAACCAAACAAUUGACUUUGUUAUGAAGUUUGACAAUUGACUUUUUGAAUUUUGAUCUGAGAGUUGUAUAAGUGGACCUCAAUAUUUUUAAAUUUUAAUAGCAAUAUCUAUACCUUAUCAAUGCAUACAUUUUAAAGUAGAAGACAUGCAAAUAGACAUGGUACAUUUUAAAGCUCUAUCAAAAAUAUAAAUCUUGAAGAAUUGAAAGAUUAAGAUAUUCUUGUGUCAUUCAAAAAGACUAAAUAAUUACUCAAAAAUGAUAGAAUAUUAAACUAAAAUAGCUAUUUCUAAGGAAAAAAAGAUUGAAAAGUUUUUAAAAAAGACUAAGAACUAAAUAAGUGUUGACAAAAGUAAAGGAGGCUUCACUCUUACCUCCAUAUAUAUUGUCUAAUUAGUAGCUAUGUAGUAAUGUGCUACAAAACCUCCAAUACAUAUUGACUUUGUAAGGUACAUAUCUUAACUUGUAAGGCAAGUUUUUUAUAUGUGUGCUACAUAAUUAGCUUAUUUUUUAAGCUAUCAAUACAUAUGAUACAUUGUUAAUUUAUUGACUAAGUUUCUAACCUAUCAAUCUACUACAAAUAUGUUUAAAGUCAAAAUUGUAUCUAUGAAGCUUUUAAAAAGCUAUUCUAGAAGAUAUUAUAAAAUUAAUCUACUUUUAUAUACUUCUACUUAAUCAUAUAGAUAAUUAUUGAAAUAAAUAUGUGUGUCCAUGACAUUAUCUUUUCUUCUAAAGAUAAGUUCUUUGAAGAGCAGUCAUCAUUUUUCAUGGAUCUUAUUAUUCUUUAUCUUGGUUUUGAUAGAUGUCGUGAGUGAAAAGCCUAAAUCUUUUUAGCUACAUUUGCAAGAUUUUUUGUUGGCUCUUAUGUGCAUUCAUUAAUAUCCUAUUCAUGCUAAUAAACAAGAUAUUUCAACCUAUUUUGGUAUUGCCUUAAAUCUAAAACUUCUUCCACUUCAAAUUUUUGAUUAUUAUUUACUUCUAUAAGAAGAGGUGGUAUUUUUUUUUUUUUUUUUUUUUUUUUUUUUUUUUCUUUUUGAAAUACUCAUUAUCUUAUACGGCUAAAAAAAAUUAUAUAGAAUAUAAGAUAGAUCUUUAUAAACUCCAAUGGAUGUAAUUGAUAAGCAAAAAGAUUGACUUAUUUACUAAUAGAAAAUAGUCUAAGCCUAUGAUAAUCUAACUUCCCACAAAAAUUGCUAGUCUUCAUAUUGUGAUGAAAUAACCAUAUCUUAUUGCCAAUGUGGAAUUGAGGUUGCUCCUUGCAAUAGGCAUCCAAGUUAGUUUUUUGUCAUUCUUGAGCUUCUUUUAAAUGUAUCCUUAUUGUUGUAUGUAGCUCAAAUAAAUAAUUUGCUAAAUCUUUCAUCACAUAAUGAUCAAAUUUUGAGAAGUCAAAAACAUCAAGAUAUAGAUGAUAAUAAAAAUUAGCCAAAAUUUUUUUUUAUUGUAUUAAAUAAUAUAUUAUAUUAUUAUAAGUAUACUUUAUAAAUAAUAAAAGUAUUAUUCAAUCAUCUUGUUGGUAGUUGAUGGUAAACCUUAAAUAUUAUUUCAAAUCUUGAUUUAUAUAUUCUACCUAUCCAUCAAUUUGAAGAUGAAAAAUUAAAGAGAGCUUUAUAUCUACCUUUAGAAUUUUAAAAAGAUUCUUCAAAAUCUUCAUAUAAAUUGAGUCUCCUAUCCAAUAUAAUAUCCUUGAGCAAUUCAUAAUAACAACAGAUGUUAUCAAAAAAAAUCUUAGCUAUUUCUUGACUUGUAAUAGAUUUUAUACAUAAUACAAAAUGUACUAUCUUAGUAAAAAAAUCUAUCAUUAUGAAUAUCAAAUUAUAUAAAUUUAAAACUAGAAGAUCUAUAAUAUAAUUCAAAGAAACAAAAGACUAUGGUUGUUUUGAAAUAGGUAAUGGCUAAAGAAGUUUAUAAGAUUGAUGACAAAGAGUUUUUGAUCUGUAUUGUAGAUCUUAUAGUUAAUUUUGGCUAUUAGAGAUUUUUUGGAAUGAAAAGCUACUAGGUGGAUUUUUUUUUAUCUACUACCGUUUUUGACAAAAUAAAAUCCAUAGUAAAGUUUGAUGUGUCUGUUUGCAUGAAAAAUGCAUGAAAAAAAUGACACAAUUCAAGAUUAAUGUAAAAUUAAAUGAUAUCUUCAAGGCUUCAAAAGAUGCUUUAGCUUCUUUUUUCUAUUUAAAUUUUUCUUUACAUGUCAAACAUGUAAGAGGAGCCACAACUUGAAAUAAAUUUUUGAUAAAGUUUUGAUAAUAAUUAAAAAAUUAUCAAGGAUAUGAAUCUUGAAGAAAGAAAAUCCUGAAUACACUCUUGUAUCAUUGAAAAGAACUAAAAAUUUACUUAAAGAUGAUAUAAUAUUGAACUAGAAUGGCUAUUACCAAAAAUAAAAAGAUUAGAAAGAUUUGAAAUAAGACUAAAGACUAAAAAGGUGUUGAUAAGAAUGAAGAAGGCUUCACUCUUGCUUCCAUAUAUACUCUCUAACUAGAAGCUAAGUGGUGAUAUUCUAUAGGACCUCCAACAUGUAUUGACUUUGUUAGCUAUAUGUAUUAACUUGUAAGGCAAGUUAUCUAUGUAUGUGCCAUAUAGUUAGCUUGUUUCACAAGAUACUAUAUGGAGUUAUCUUAUUCCAUAAGCUACUAAUAAGUGGUUAACUUGUUGCCCAAGUUUUUAUCCUACAAAUUCAUCUAAAGUCAAAAUCGUAUCUAUAAAGCUUCUAUGAAGCUUUUCGAGAAGACUUUAUGAAAUUAAUCUAUAUUUACCUACUUCUAUCUAAUUAUAUAAGUGACUAUUGAAAUAAAUAUAUAUAUCCAUGAUAUUACCCUCUUUUUUAGGAACGAGUUCCACAAAGAGGAGUUAUCAUUUUUCAUAGAUCUUUGCAAUUCUUCAUCUUAGUUUUGAUGGAUGUCAUCAAUCAAAGACCUCAAACUACUUUAUUGCAUUUGUAAGAUUCUUUGUUGACUCCCAUGUGACUAUAUCAUAUCAUUGUUUACUAAUAUCAUAUCCAUGCCAAUGAAUAAGAUAUUCCAACCUAUUUUGGUGCCACCUUGAAUCUAAAACUCUUCCACCUUAAAUUCUUGAUUAUUAUCCAUUUUUAUAGGAAGAGGUGGCAUUUGUCUUUUUUUUGAGAUAUUCACUAUCUUAUAUGGCUCAAGAAGGGACACGUGAAAUAUAAGGUGGAUCUUCAUAGACUCUGGUAGAUGUAAUUGAUAAGCAAUAGAAUUGAUUUGUUCACAAAUAAAAAAAGGUCGCAACAUAUAAUAGUCAUAAGGACAAGUAGUCUUGAUAUUGCAAAGAAAUAACCAUACCUUAUCACCUACAUUGAAUUGUAGAUGCUCCUUACAAAAGGCAUCUGGGUAGGUCUUUUUUCACUCUUGAGCUUCCUUUAAUUGUAUCUUUAUUGCUACAUGUAGCUCUAACAAAUGAUUUGCUAAAUCUUUUGCCAUAAGAUUAUUAACUUUUGAAAAGUCAAAAGUAUCAAGUCAUGGAUGAUAACCAUAAUUGGCAAAGAAAGAUGUUUAUUGAGUAGAAGAAUGUAUCAAAUUAUUAUAUUCAAAUUAUGCCAAUGAUAAAAAAGUUGUCUAAUCAUCUUGAUGAUAGUUGAUGGUACAUCUCAAAUAUUGCUCCAAAACUUAAUUCAUCUAUUCUAUUUGUCUAUCAAUUUGAGGAUGAAAAGCCAAAGAGAGUUAUAUAUCCAUCUUUAGAAUUUUAAAUAGGAUUCUCCAAAAUAUUGAUAUAAAUUGAGUCCUCCUAUCUGACAUAAUAUCCUUUAAUAAUCCAUGAUAGUUAUAGAUAUUGCCAAUGAAAAGCUUAGCUAUCUUUUCACCUAAAAUAGAUUUUGUACAUAAUUGAACUUAAAAGAUCUGUAAUAAAAUUCAUAGAAAUAGAAGACCAUGAUUGUUUGGAUACAUGCAAUGGUUGAAGAAGUCCAUAGGAUCAAUAACGAGGAGUUUUUGAUCUUGAAUAAAUGUUAUAUGACUAAAAAAAGUCUUUCACUACCUUCCACAUUUGUAGCCACCAAAAAACUUUGGAUAUAAGCUUUAAAGUCUUAUUGUAUCUAAAAUGUUCUGUUGCUAGAAAUUUUUAAUGUGCUUGAAGAACACUUAAACAUGCUUCUUCUUCAAAAACAUAUAGACAUCUCUUGAAGUAGAAUAGGUUAUUUUUGAAGUCAAACUUUGAAAUAUUAUAAAACUUAGAAGAAAGAUUCUUGAUAUUAUGAACAAGAGGAUCAAAAGAAUUUAUUUGACAAAAAUCAAAUCAAUAGUCCAUGUUGAUUUCAUUGCUCAAGGAUGAAAAUACUCUUGCUUCAAGAAGAUUGUUUUUUAUUGAUUAAAAGAUAAGUAUUUUUUUUUUUUUUUUUUUUUUUUUUUUUUUAAAUUUAAGACAAGAGUGUCUAGAAAGAGUAUCUAAUAAACCUUAUUUUUUUUUAAGUCAAUAUGUAAUUUUGAAAUCAAAUCUUGAUAAUAACAUGCUCUAAUGAGCUUGGCAACGAUUCAAAAUAAUAUAUGCUAAUAUAAAAUACUUGAGGUUUUUAUGAUUUGUAUAUAUUAUAAUUGGACUUAAAGUGCCUUCUAGAUAAUGAUGCCAUUCUUGAAAUGAAUCCCUAAUUGUACAAAGUUCUUUGCUGUGGAUUUCAUAGUUAAUCUUGACUACUAAAAAUUUCUUAUAAUAGAAGCUACUAGAUGGAAUUUAUUAUCUAUUCCCAUUUGUGACAAUACUACAUCCAAGGCAAAGUCUGAUGCAUUUGUUUUCAUAAAGAAUUCUUUAAAAAAGUCGAUGCGAUACAAAAUUGGUACAAAAGUAAAUUCCUUCUUGAAAGCAAUAAAUGAUAUUUCGGCUUUUUUAUUCCACUCAAGUUUUUCUUUACAAGUCAAACAUAUAAGUGGAGUUACAACUUGGAAAAAGUUCUUGAUAAAGAUUUGGUAAUAAUUGACAAAGCUCAAAAAGCAUUGUACAUCUCUUACUGUUCUUGGGAACUUCUAAUCUAUGAUAGUUUGGACCUUCUUUGGAUCCAUCAUAAGGCCUUCAUUGGAAAUGAUGUAUUCCAAAAAGUCAACUUGAAUAGUAUGGAAUACACACUUUUCUAUCUUUGUGUAUAAUCAUGCAUCUUUUAGUUUUUAUAAUACUUAAAAAAUAUUAACUUCAUGAUCUUUUGUGUUCUUAGAAUAGAUUAAAAUAUCAUCCAGAUAACAAAUGAUAAAUCAUCAAGAAAAUCAUGAAAAAUAUCAUUCAUUAGAUGUCAAAAAAUAGCUAGUACAUUUAUGAAUCCAAAAGGCAUGAUAUUAUAUUCAAAAUGUCCAUACCUAGUUUGAAAAUCACUCUUCUAUUUAUCUCCUUCUUUAAUGUAGACUAGGUUAUAUGCUCAUCAUAGAUCUAUUUUUGUAUAGGUCUUUACUUGAUUUAGUUGAUUAAUAAUUCUUGAAAUGAAGGUAGAAGAAACCUAUAUUUGAUAGUGAUCUUAUUAAGUCCUCGAUAAACUAUACAUAUUCAUAGAGAUCUAUCUUUUUUUCUUUACGAAUAAGAUAGGAGUAUCGGUUGGAGAUUUAAAAUGGCAUUUCAAGUUCUUAACCAAGUUUUCAUCAAUAUACUCGUUGAGUGUGGCCAAUUCAUUUUGUGAUAGGCUAUAGAUUAGUCCAAAUGGUGGUUGAGUUCCUUCUUGAAGAUUGAUGGUAUAAUCAUAAGGAUGAUGCUUUGGAAUAAUAUAUAUAUUUUUUUUUUCAAAAACAUCUUGGAAAUCUUGAUACUGAUUGAGAAUACUAGAUAUCUUUUUACCAUCAACAAUGGAUGUGGCAUAUAUAGCAAAAGAUGGUCCUUCAUUUUCAGCAUGCAUGAAAGCUCUUACACCUACUAUUAAUAAUUUGGAUGUACUAGACUUAUAGAUUUCUACUUGCCUAGUAGAACCAUGGACUAAACCAUGCAAAAAAUUAAGAUUGCAAGAAAUUUAAUCUAUCUGAAGGUUAUAUCUUUCUAACCAUGAUAAUCCUAAAAUAAUUGGAUUAAAAGGAAAUUUAAUUAUAUUAAAUAUUACUAAACUAUUGUAACUACUAGUUGCUACUUCUAUAUAAAUAGUUUCAUGUGAUAUAUCUCGAGAAGACAAUGAAUGUCCAUCUAUUACUUGGACAUACAUAGGUUUGAUUUUAUUAAUUAAAAAUAUAUCUUAUUUUUUGACAAAGUCUUUAUGUAUACAACAAGAUGAGGCUUUUGAAUCCAAUAAGACCAAGACUUUGUGAUUUUUUGGUCCUAAACAGACUUCUAUUAUAAAACAAGGUAAAGGAUCAGAAUAAAGAAUAAGAUUUUUAUUAGAUGUUGUACAUGAUUCCAACCACACGGUUCCUAUUGUAACUAGAGCAACUUAUUUUUUGACACAUUAUCUUCUUUGGCAAUCAUGCUUUUCAUUUUGUAAUUAGAUUGUUUCUUAGGACAAUAUUGAACAAUAUGUUUAGCUUCUUUAUAAUAUAAGCAUAAGCCUUCUUGACAUCAUCAACUCUUUUUCUGCUCUGUGAGAGAUUUUAAAUGUACCUUUGUGAUAUUAUGUGUUGUCUUUGUUUAGGAAUGCAUCGGGCACCUAACUGUAGAAGGUGAGGUUGUAUUUCACAAGUAUCUAAGAAAUCCUAAUAGAUUUCAUCCAUAUGAAAAGAAUGUAAUCCAAAUUUUAAUUCAAAAGUACUAAAAAGUACUCUUUUUAGUAGCCUUAAUCAUAUAUAAAUCUCAAUUACUUUGUUACUUUUAUAUUUAAGUAAUUUAGAUUUUUCUUAUAAGCCCCAAUUCUAAUUAAUGAACUUUAAUAAGCUGUAACUUCUAAUUUAAUUGUCUACUUGAUACAAAAUUUUGCAUGCAAUUGUUAAUAUAAGUCUUCUAUACGCUUAAGAAUUUUGAGCCCAAUCCAACUUACAGAUUAUGAGAAAACCUCCAAAAAUUGCACUGAUGUCACUUGGCCACCAACUUGAAAAGUGAAGCAAAAAUCUUAGCAGUGAUUUCUCCUUUUCUAAUUUUUAAUUUUAACUCAAAAUUGAUAUGCAAAUUAUUCUUUAAGUCUUCCAACAUCAAGCCAAAUUUCACCUUGAUCUGACUAGUAGAUCUCUAGAUAUCAUAGAAACCCUACCCAAUUCCAAAUUACCAACUUCUAAAACCCUCUUGUGCUAAAAACCAGAUAUCUCAAAAAUACACUAUUAAAUUAUCAAAAAAUAUUGUAUACACUUAGCACAUCCAAUAAUCCAAAUAAUACCAAAUUUUGAAUUAUAGAUGCUACACCAAUUGUACAAACUAGCCAAAAUUACUAGCCCUAAUUAUAUUAUAUAAAACCCAAAUCACCAAUAUAAACUCUGACUUUGAACAAUAAUUGCUAAGUCUUAAAAAAUCCUACAAAAACAAUCUUUAUACCUUUAAAAAGAGCUUUAAGUUAGCUUUCAAAUUCUAAUCUCUAAUCUUCAAAUAAAAUCCUAAUUUUUCCUAGGUGGUCAUUUUAAAGAUUAGAGGUUGAUUUCAAUUCCAUCUCACAAAUGGUCAAUCCACGUGUAUCAAUCUAAUCUAUUCUAAGGAUUUUUUAGUCCAUUCCUAUUGUUAACUUGAUCUUAGUAUCAACCAUAUCAACCAUUUAUCUCUUCUAUCUUAAUUUUAAUAAUUUAUGGCCUUUCUAAGGUAGUAAAAAAGUUUCUAUAUUCUAGAAGGUAAAAAUACUAUCUAACUUUUAUCUACUUGCUAUUAAGCCAAGAAAAUAGGCUAAGAGGCUUUCAUAAAAGCCUUAUUAAAAUAUUUUGAAUUCUUAUUGAAUUAAUAUAAUAGAAUAUUAAUUAAAAAAUUAUUUUUAAUUAUAUUUUUAUCAUAUAAUCGUGUCAUAAUACAACACCAUAUCAAUUAGCAUUAGUUUUGGCUUUCAUAAAUAAGUUUUUGAAAACUUAGGAGCUGUAAUCAUUAUUUGGUUUUUUCUUCUUCAGCCAUAUCUUUGUUCUUGAUGUAUUUCAAAUAAUUGAUUAUCACAUGCAAUGGCUUCAGCAAUAAAUUGUUCUAAAGAUUUUGUCUUUGGCAUUGUCAAUAACAAGUCUUUCAUACUAUCCUUUAACCCAUAUGAAAAUUGAUUGAUAAGGACUUUAUCAUUUCAGUCUACAUUAUAAGUGAGAUUUUGGAAUUUAAUAGCAUAUAUUAUGGUUGACCAUGAUCCUUACUGUCAAGAUUAGAACUUGGUCUCUACUACUCUUUCUCAAUCACUUUCUCCAAAUGUGGCCAUAAACACUUUUAGGAAUGAAUUCAACUCAUAAAGAAGUCACAAAUCUUUUUCUAUCAAAGAUGCAAAUUAAGAGAGAACACUUCUUGAUAGAAGUACCUUUAUAAAUCCGACUUCAAUAAAUCCAUUGAAAUAUUGGAAAGGAUGCAAUCUUAGAUAGAGCUUGACUUGUUGUAAAAAUCCUCAAAAUUUUGAUCUUAUUCCAUCAAACUUAUUAGGCAUACUAAUCCUUGUCUCUAUGAUACAUGUAGAAGCAAAACUCCUUAGAUUUGAUUCUAACAUCAAUCUACUUGCUUCUUUGAAGUGUACAACUUCUUACCAUAAACUCUGAACUUCUUUUGUAGGCGUAGAUAUAGUAACUUCGUGAUUCACAUUAAAAAUAUAUGAGAUUUCCAUUCUUAGAGUAUUGACAAGCUCAUGAAGAUUUGUAAUAGUUGUAAAUCUAUUUUUAUUUCUACUAAGAGUAGCAUUCUUAAUCUUUCUUUCUAUAGAUAAGUCAAAAAAAUUCAAAAAAUUAAAUUAAAAGAGGGUAAUCCACAACCUCUAAUAAAAAUUCUACAAAGAAGGGUACUUUACUUUCUUUAAGAAAAAUAUCACUGUUAAAAAAUAAGAUUUUUUUGUUUAAAGGUGGAUAGUCCAAAACUUUCAAAAUAUAACAAUAGAAGUGGAAUAAUCUAUUGACUUUUUAAACAAGACAGAAGCAGUUAGUUAGCACUCUUAUCAAACUAUCAAGGACAUGAAUCUCAAAGAAAGAAAAUCCUCAAGUCAGUCUUGUAUCAUUGAAAAGAACUAAAAAGUUACUUAAAGAUGAUGUAAUAUUGAAUAGAAUGGCUAUUUUUAAAAAUAAAAAGAUUAGAAAGUCUUGAAAUAAGACUAAAGACUAGAAAGGCAUUGAUAAGAGUGAAGAAGGCUUCACUCUUGCCUCCAUAUAUACUCUCUAAUUAGGAGCUACGUGGCGAUAUUCUAUAGGACCUCCAACAUGUAUUGACUUUAUUAGCUAUAUGUCUUAACUUGCAAGGCAAAUUAUCUAUAUAUACACCACAUAGUUAGCUUGUUCUACAAGCUACUACAUGAAGUUAACUUGUUCCAUAAGCUACCAAUAAGUGGUUAACUUGUUGACCAAGUUUCUAUCCUACAAAUAUAUCUAAAGUCAAAACCAUGUCUAUGAAGCUUCUAAGAAGCUACUCUAAAAGAAUUUAUGAAAUUGAUCUAUAUUUAUCUACUUCUACCUAAUCAUAUAAGUAACUAUUGGGAUAAAUAUAUAUGUCUAUGAUAUAAAUUUCAAAAAUUAUUGUAAUUUUUUGACUAUUUUUGAAAUCUUCUAAUUUAUGAUAGUCAAGACUUUCUUAAGAUCUAUGAUAAGGACAUCAUUUCAAAUGAUGUAUCUUACGAAGUGAACUUAAAUACUAUGAAUUUUAUACUUUUCCAUCUUAGCAUAUAAUCCUACAUCCUUUAAUUUUUGUAACAUAUAAUAAAUAUGAAUUUUAUAUUCUUCUAAGAUCUUAAAAUAGAUUAAGAUAUUAAUGAAAAAAUAGAUAAUAAAAUCAUCAAGAAAAUUAUGAAAUACAUCAUUCAAUACAUAUUGAAAAGCAACCAAUGCAUUUGUGAGUCCAAAAAACAUGACAUUAUAUUUGAAAUAUCUAUACUUCAUUUAAAAUAAUUUUUUUCAUUUAUCUCCUUCUUUAAUAUAUUCUAUAUUAUAUGUUCUUCAUGGAUCUAUUGUAAUAUAGAUCUUUGCUUGAUUCAAUUGAUCCAAAAGUCUUAAAAUUAAUGAUAGAAGAUAUCUAUUCUUGAUGGUAAUUUAAUUGUAUUAUUAAUAAUCUACAUACAUUUGCAAAGUUCUAUAUUUUUUCUUCACAAAAAAGAUAGGAGUCUCAAUUAGAGAAUUAAAAUGGCAUAUGAAGUUUUUAGCCAAAUUUUCAUCAAUGUAUUCUUUGAGUGUAGCCAAUUUAUUUUGUGAUAGGCUAUAAAUUGGUCUAAAAGGUAAUUGAAUUUCUUCUUGAAGAUCAAUGGAAUAAUCAUAGAAAUGAUGCUCUAAGAAAAUAUCUACAUUUUUUUUUGAAAAUAUCUUGAUAAUCUUGGUAUUGGCUUGAAAUGCUACUUAAAAUCUUUUCUUUAUAUAUAAAAGUUGUGGCUUAUAUAAAAAAAAAUUGAUCCUUCUUUUGUAACAUGUAUAAAAAUUCUUAUAUCUAAUAAUAAUGAUUUGGAUGUAUUGGUCUUAUAGAUUUUUUCUUGCUUACAAAAAUCUUAGACAAAAUUAUAAGAAAAAUUAAGGUUAAAAGAAAUCUAGUUUGUUUAAAAAUUAUAAUUUUUUAGCCACAAUAAUCCUAAAAUAAUUAGGUUAGAAAGAAAUCUAAGAACAUUAAAUAUUACUAUACUAUUAUGAUCACUAAUUGCUAUAUCUAAAGGAAAAAUUUUAUAUAUUACAUCUCUAGAAGACAAUAAACAACCAUUUAUAACUUUAGCAAGUACAAGUUUGAUUUUCUCAACUAAUGGUAUUUCUUAUUUUUUGACAAAGUCUUUGUUUGUAAUAUAGGCUAAGCCUCCUGAAUCUAAUAAGGCUAAGACUUUGUGAUUUUUGAUCCUAAAAAAACUUCUAUUUUAAAACAAGGUGAAAGAUUUGAAAAAAAAAAAAAAAAAAAAAUCUUUAUUAAGUAUUAUGCAAGAUUUCAACCAUAUAGUUCCUAUUAUAGUUCAAAAAACUUGUUUUUUGUCACAUUAUCCUCUUUCACAACCAUGCUCUUUAUUUUGUAAUUAUAUUGCUUUUUUGAAUAAUAUUAAGUAAUAUAUUUGCAUUUUCUACAAUAUAUGCACAAACCUUUUUGACAACAACAAGUCUUUCUUACUCAAAGAAAAGUUUAAAACGUAUAGUGUCAAUUUAUAUAGGCUCUAGCUUGGAGACUUAAGCUUUCAAAAGCUUAGAAGGUAUCGCCAUAGCUUGAUUUAUACCUCUUCAAUCAGAUCUUUAUUCUUAGCAUCUUUUAAAGAAUCAUUUAUUGCAUGCAAUGGCUCAAGCAAUAAAUUACUUUAAUAAAUCUAUUCUUGAUAUUAUUAAUAAUAAAUCUUUGAUAUUAUCUUUCAAUCUAUACUAAAAUUCAUUGAUAAGGGCUUUAUCAUUUCAAUCCAUAUUAUAAGCAAGAUUUUGGAGUUCAAUAGUAUUUAUGGUAGUUGAAUAUGACCCUUGUCAUAUAGAUAGGAGCUUGAUUCCUACUAUCUUUUUUCAAUUAAUUUUUCUAAAUAUAGCUAUAAAUACUUCCAAAAAUUAAUUCAAAUCAUAGAAUAUUUAAGAAUCUUUUUUCAUCAAAAGUACAAACUAAGAAAGAUCACUCUCAGAAAGAAGUGCUCCUAUGAAUCUAACUUAAGUACAUCCAUUAAAAUAUUAAAAAAAAUGUAACUUUAGAUAGAACUUUAUUUAUUAUUAAAAUCUUUAAAACUUUGAUCUUGUUCCAUCAAACUUUUCUAGCAUUCUUAUCCUUAAUUUUCUUAUAUUUAUACUAAGAAUACUCCUUGGAUUCAAUUAUAAACUUGAUCUACUUGCUUCUUUUAAUUGCAUAACUUUUGAGCAUAGACUUUCAACUUCAUUGUUGAUUUCUUCUAUGGACAUAGGAAUAGUACUUCUAUGAUUUACAUUAGAAAUAUGUAAGAUUUCUACUCUAAGAUUAUUAAUAAGCUUGUGAUAAUUUAUAAUUUUUACAAAUCUAUUCUUACUUCUAUCAAGAAUAGUAUCUAUCAUUUUUUCUUCAAUAGAUACUUAAAUAAAUUCAAAAAAUUAAAGUAAAAGGGGAUAAUGUACAACCUCAAAUAUCAAAUGAAGAUUUCUAUGAAGAAAGAUAAUCUACUCUCUUAAAGAAAAAAAUUAUUGUUAAAAAACUAACUUAUUUAUUUAAAGAUGAAUAGUCCACUAUCUUAUUAUAUAUUCUCUUAUUUAGAAAUAUACUAGGUAUCUAGCUAUAAAAAGUAAAGUUGUGUUUUAUAAGUAUCUAAGAAAAUCUAAUAUGUUUCAUUCAUAUAAAAAGAAAUGAAAUUCAAAUUUUAAUUCAAAAGUGCUCAAAAUCAAUACAAAGUGCUUAAAAACACUCUUUUUAGUGAUCUCAACCAUACAAAAACUCCAAUUACCUUAUUACUUUUAUAAUUAUAUAAUUUUGAUUUCUUUUUAUAAAUCCUAAUCUUAAAUAUUGAAUUUUAGCAAAUUAUAAUUCCUAAUUUGGCUAUUUACUUAUCACAAAAUUUUACAUACAAAUGCCACUAAAAGUCUUCUAUAUGUUUAAAAAAAUUUAAUCCAAUCCAAUUUACAAAUUGUGAAAAAACAUCCAAAAAAUUGCAAUGAUAUCACUCAGCUACCAAUUUGAAAGUUGAUUCAGAAGUUUUAGUAGCAAUUUUUCUUCUUCCAAUUAUUAACUUUAGCUCAAAAUUGAUGUAUACCGUGAUCUUCAAGUCUUCUAAUAUUAUGCCAAAUUUCACCUUAUUUCAAUUAAUAGAUCUUUAGAUAUCAUAAAAAUCCUAUUAAAUCCCAAACUGCCAACUUUUGAUACUUUCUUGUACCAAAAAUCAAAUAUCUCUCAACUACACUAUUAGAUUAAUAUAAAAUUUUAUGUAUGCUUAGCACAUUAAAUCAAUCAAGAAUAUUAGUCCUAAUUAUAUAACAUAAAUUCAAAGUCAAUAAUAUAAAUCUUAAUUUUAAACAUCAAUUGUAAAGUUAUCUCAAAUCCUAUAAAAAUAACCCUUGUGCUUCAAGAAUGAACUUGAAGCUAGCUUUCCAAUGUUAGUCAUGAAUCUCCAAAUGCUCCCAUAUUUUAUCCUUGGCAGUCAUUUUAGUAGCUAGAGGUUUGAUUUUGACCCAAUUCUACAAAUAUUUGACCUCAAGUAUCAAUCCAAUCUAUCAUAGGGAUUUUUUAGUCCAAUCCUACCUUCAACUUAAUUCUAGUAUCAACUAUAUUAAUUAUUUACUUCUUUUAUUCUAUUUUUAUUAAUUUAUGGUCUUUUUAAGGCAGUAAAAGAAUUUCUAUAGCCUAAAAGUUAAAAUUACUAUCCAACCUUUAAUCUACUAGCUAUUAAGACAAAAAAAUAAAUUAAGAAGCUUUUAUAAAAAUAAUGUUUAAAUUUCUUAAAUUAUUAUUGAACCAAGAUGAUUAAAUAUUUAUUUUAAAUUUAUUUUUGAUUAUUUUUUCAUCAUAUAGUCAUAUUAUAAUACAACAUCUAUCUCUUCUAAAACUGCAUAUCCUCUGAUAUGCACCAAAUCAACUAUAUGUCAUAAUUGACAUCAAACUAUUUCUUUAUUUUUUGUAUCAAUUCUUUCAUUACUAUUUUCACCAUCUAUUUGAGUAAAAUUAUUUCUAUAAUCUACAGUGAUCUUUUUUAUACAUCUAAGAGUCCCACAAAUUGAUCUUAAUUAGUAGAUUAGUUAAAAACAUAGUUUUAAGUUAUUCAAUUAUACAAAUAUUAAGAGUAGAGAGUUUUUUUUUUUUUUUUUUUUUGACUAUUCAAGUAUUUAUUAUAAUUUAAAAGUAUUUAUAAGUUGCAAAAGUGUUAUUAGAAGAAAAGUUAUAAAAAUAGAGUCUUAGUAAGUCUUGGAGGCAAUUAUCUUAGUUAGUUUAGUAUUUUUCUUAUUGUUAAGUAUUAAGAGUUAGUUAUUGAAACCAAUAUCUUCAUUGGCUCCUAUCUACAUGUAUUACUUAUAAAAUCCUAUCAAUGAUUAGUUAGUAGUUAGAAGAAGCAUGAAAAAGAGCUUCAUGUCUUUUUAGUUAAUUAUAUAAAAAAUAGGAUUUUUAGUAGAUUUAAAUUGAUUUUAUUACUAUAAAAAAUCACUAAGAUAGGAAAAUACAGCCUCAUAUGGAUAUUAGUAUUAUAGAAACAUUAUAGGAUUUUUUAGAAUUUAUUUAGAAUUUAUUUAGAAUUUUUUAUGAAUUUUUAGAGAAAAUUUUAAGACUUUGGUAAAAUUGAGUUUUAUCACCUUGAGAGCCAUUAUGAAAUAUGAAGCAAGAUUUGAAGACUAUGAAAAGUUUCUAGGCUAAUUGGAUGUUUUUGAACACCCUGGUAAAGUCUAAAAUGCAAAAAAAAGGUAGUUUUACUAGUAGAAAAUAGGAGGACCAGCAGCUAGUGUAAUCCUUGUAGGAAGAGAGGUGCAUAAUUUCCAUAUGGAUUGUAGCACCUUGGGUAUAGGUAGGAAGAUAAGACUAAGGACUCAAGGCCUCUUGAGGGGGAGGAUAUACACUACUUGUGAGCCUUGGUGAGGCUCGAACUCUUGAUUUCUUAAGCAAGUUAUCCUUGAGGUAAAAAUUAUUCAUUUAACUUUUCUAUUAUUUACAUUCUAUCUUUAAUCUAUCAUAACUUACUCAUAGUAACUUGAAAUUAUAUGAUUUUUAUGUCAUUGGAAAGAUAAAAAAAUUAUCUAUCUAAAAAUAUAUUUUUUUAUUUUUACUUUUACUUUUUAUUGGAUGAAAAUCCAGUGAACGGACUGUGACUUUGUUUUGGAUGAUGUGAUUACUUGAUUUCAUCUCUUUUACUUGUAUUGUGGUUGUUCCUCCUUGAUCUUUUGCCAAUUGCUUACUUCACUUCAUACCACCAAUUACAAGCAACUCUUAAUUGAGGCCAUCUUGUAAUUGGGGCUAAGGAGUGAAAUUUACACUCACAACAUCCAUAGUGACAAAUAACAUCUUUAAGCAAAAACUUGCAAAUUUCUUUUAUAUAAUUUAUUCUUAAUAUUAUGUCUUCUACUUAAUUUGAUAAAAUUUUAUAAGACAAAAUUAAAUACUUCAUUUUUCAUAGUUCUAUCGACAUAAUAACAAAAUCCACAAUCCAUUUAAAAUGAAUAGCCAAAGAAUGUAUUACAUGUAGACCAUUUAAAAGUUGUAUAUUUGAAUGCAUCUGAUAAGUUAGAUAAGAUUCUACUAACAAAGCUACAUCUUGAUAUAUAUUCUUCUACCAAUAUUAUUCCUUGAAUUUAAUAAAAAUAGUCUAAAUUACUCUAUGCUGAACAUUUUAGAUACAACAAGACUUUUGAACUAACAUUGAAAGAUUUUUUGGUAGCUUCAAAUGUUGAAAGCAAUUAAAGACUUUUUAAAAUCAUGAGAUAUUUGUUUAAGAUCCAAAAUUCUUCAUCAUCAACUUUAUGGACUUCUUUAGCCAUUACAUAUUUCAAAACAACUAUGGUCUUUUGUUUCUAUAGAUUUUAGUAUGGAUCUUCCAAUCUCAAAUUUUUAUGAUUCUAUACUUAUGAUAAUAAAUCGUUUUAUAAAGAUAGCACAUUUUGAACAAUGUAUAAAAUCUACCAUAUGUAAAGAAAUGGCUAAUUUUUUUUUUACAAUAUUUAUUGCUAUCAUGGAUUAUCUAAACAUAUUAUAUUAGAUAGAAAAACUCAAUUUAUAUUAAGAUUUUAAAGAAUUAUUUUUAAGAUUCUAAAGAUGGAUAUAAAGCUCUCUUUAGCUUUUUUUCCUCAAACUAAUGGAUAAACAAAUUAGGUGAAUCAAGUUCUAGAGCAAUAUUUGAGGUAUAUCAUCAAUUAUCAUCAAGAUGAUUGAAUAACUCUUUUGCCAUUUACAAAGUUUGCAUACAAUAAUUCAAUACACUCUUCUACUUAAUAAAUAUCUUUUUUUUCCAAUUAUGGCUAUCAUCCAUGACUUGAUAUUUUUGACUUUUCAAAAAUUAAUAAUCCUAUAGUAAAAGAUUUGGCAAAUCAUUUGUUAAAGUUACAUGCAACAAUAAAGGUACAAUUAAAAAGAGAUCAAGAAUGACAAAAGAUCAAUACAAAUGCCUAUUGUAAAGAAUAACCAUAAUUCAAUAUGGAUGAAAAAAUAUGAUUAUUCCAUUGUAAUAUCAAGACUUCUUGUACUUGUGAGAAGUUGGACUAUCGUGGAUUAGAACCUUUUUCUAUUUGUGAACAAAUCAAUUUUGUUGCUUAUUAAUUACAUUUACCUAAGUCUAUAAAGAUCUAUCUCAUAUUUCAUAUAUCUCUUUUUGAGCCAUAUAAGAUAGUGAAUAUCUUAAGAAGAAGAUAAAUGCCACCUCCUCUUAUAAAAGUGGAUAAUAAUUAAGAAUUCAAGAUGAAAGAAGUCUUAGAUUCAAGGCAGCACCAAAAUAGGUUAGAAUAUCUUAUUCAUUGAUUUAGAUAUAAUAUUAAAGAAUGCACAUAGGAGCCAAGAAAUAAUCUUACAAAUGCAACAAAGAGAGUUGAGGUUUUUUAUCGAUGACAUCCAUCAAAACCAAAAUAAAGAAUAGAAAAUCUAUACUAUAAAAGAAAUAAGAUCCAAAGAAGAUAACAUUCUACUUUCUAUCCUUGUUUGAAGCUUUUGUAUAUUAUGAUAUUAAAGAAAUGAAAAAUAAACAACCAACAAAUUUAAUUCAAGAUCUUUUAUUUUUUAACUUACAACCUUUAAGAUGAUGCAAUUAAGAUAAAGUUCUUCAAAAAUGACAUAUCUUAUCUCAAAUAGAUGACAAAAUAUAAUGUGUUUGGUAUCACAAUCUUAGAAGAGUUUCUUGAUGUUUAGUGAUUUUAUUAGACGUAGAAAAAACUCUUGACAAUAUUCCAAAUAUUUUUAUUUUGAAGGAAGUUCAAUGGCUUUAACAACAACUAAAUAAUAAGAUGGUCUUUGUGCCUAAGUAUGUAACAUUAUCAAUAGCUAAGAAGACCUAUCAACCAUCUUCAAAGAGAACAAAGAUCAAAGUAUGUGGCAAAUACAAUUUGCUACAUCUUAGAUUUUUUCAAAAUAUGAAGACCUUUUUUUGUCGAACUCAUUUCUAAAAAGAAGGACAAUAUAAUGGACAUAUAUAUUUACUCUAAUAUUUACCUAUAUGAUUAAUUAGAAGUAAAUAUAAAUAAUUUUAUUUUAUAAUAUUUUUUAGAAAAGCUUCCUAGAAGCUUCAUACAUGCUACUUUGACUUUGCAUGUAUUUGUAGUUGAUUGAUAGGUUAGAAAGUUGGUUAAUAAAUUAACUAUGUAUUGCUAGCUUACGGAACAAGCUAAGUAUGUAGCUUACAUAUAGAAAACUUACCUUACAAGUUAAGAUAUGUGUCUUGCAAAGUCAACAUAUUUUAGAGAUCCUAUAGGAUAUUGCUAUGUAGUUCUUAGUUAUCAGUAUAUAUGGAGGUAAGAGUGAAGCCUUCUUCAAUCUUAUCAAUACCUUUUUAGUCUUUAGUCUUAUUGUAAGAUUUAUUAGUCUUCUUGUCUUUGGCAAUAGUCAUUCUAGUUUAAUACCAUAUCAACUUCAAGUGACUUUCUAAUUCUUUUGAGUGACAUAAGAUUGUAUUAAGGAUUUCUUUCUUCAAGAUUCCUUAAAAAUAGUAUUCUAAAUGAUUUGUUUGAAAGAAGUUUUAAAGGUCUCAACAAUGAUGAAGUAUUAAGAUGGUCUUUUUAUCUUUGUAAAAAAUACUAUAAAUGAUUGAUAAGACCUAUCAAUUAUCUUUAAAAAUAAUAAAGAUUAAAAUAUAUGACAAAUAUAAUUUAUUACAUCUUGAACUUUUUUAACAUGUGAUGACCAUUUCUUAUAGAACUCAUUAUUAAAAAAGGAGAUAAUAUCAUGAUCGAAAAUAUUUAUUUAAAUAAUUAUCUAAAUAGUAUGAAUAAAUGAAAAUAUGUAAAAAUAGAUAGAUUUGAUAAUAUCUUAUAAAAAAGCAUUUUAAAAGCUUCAUAGACAUGGUUUGUCUUUAUAAAUUUCUAUAGAUGAUUGAUAGGUUGAAAACUUGGCCGCAUGUUCUAUAUAGUGGUGAUUUGUGGUAUAAGUUGGCCAUGUGGCUCACAUAUAGAAAACUUGUAUUGUAAGUUAGAUAUUUGUCUUAUAAAUUGGACAUAUUUUGAAGGUUGUAUAGAAUGUCAAUAUGUAACUUAUAAAUAAAUAAUAUGUAUAGAGAGACAAGAAUGAAGCCUUUUUUACUCUUAUCGAGUCAUUUUUUAUUUCUAGUCUAGUUUCAAGAGUUUCUAGUUUCCUAGUCUUUCUAAAAAACUAGAAUGGCUUUUUACUAUGUUAAUUACAUAUAAGGCUUAAUUAUGCAAAUUUUAAUUCAAUUAAAUAUGUAUUUUAAAGGAAAUAACUAUUUUCAAAGAAAUAAUACUAAAAAAAUAGCCUAUAGCAUAUAUCUAAAUUUUUUGAAUUUUUUUGUAUUACUAUUUGAUUUAUAUAAUAUACUAUCUAUAUUUUUAAUUUUAAUAGAUUCUAUUUUUUUAUUUAAUACUUAAUUAUGUCAUAAUAGUUUAAAUGAUGAUAUUUGAAUAAUACAAAAAAAUAUAAAUUAUAAAAAUUAUAUAUAUAUAUAUAUAUAUAUAUAUAUAUAUAUAUAUUUUUAAAUUUUAAAUUAAAUUUAAUUAAUAGAAGAAAAUAAAGUUAUAUCUAUAUAUAUAUAUAUAUAUAUAUAUAUGUGUGUGUGUGUAUAUAUGGUGAUAAUCAAUUAUAUGAAAUUUUUUAAUAACUAAAAUAAAAUCCUUUUAAUAAAAUAAAAAAUAUAAUGAGACUUUUAUUAAAAAUAAAUAAAUAAAUAUGAAAGUAGAAUAAGUUAUAUUAUAAAGGGUAUUAUUUUAUAUAAGUUGCUAUUGGUUAAAAGGUUGACUCUUGGUAUAUAAGAAGGCCAACAAAUAAAGUAGAUGAACAAAAAAAAGAUCUUAAGGAUAUAGAAAAUAUAUUAAAAAUAUAUUCUUAUUGUAGAUAAGAUAUCUAUGAAUUUUUUUUAAAAAUAUUGAAUGGAUGUAUUUAUCAAAGGAUGGAAGUUUUCCAUUAGGACAGCAAUCACCUCCUAUAAGUAACAGAUAUUAAAAGUGAGAAAUAUCUUAUUUCAUAUUCUUUUUGUGAGCAACCUUGCUAAUGCUAUGUGUUGAUAACUUCAAAGUUCUUUUUCUUCAAUAGAUUAUGGAUCCACUUACCUUUAAUUGUGAAGUUUAAAGUUCUUUGAAGUUUUCUUGUUGUCAGGAGUAGAUCUUAUGGUUGUUGUUGAUAUUAGAAUUUGAUAUCUUGUAAACUCUCUUUUACAUCUAGUUGUUGAUGUAGUUUUAUUCUUAAUUGUUAUUAAGUACAUUUAUUAUCUUAGAAGGUAUCAAUCACCUUAGAAUAAUAUUAUAGAAUACUAAUAUUAUAUUUCUUUGCUAAGUUACAUAAUUGAUGCACUAGUAUUAUUCUUUUGUGUGUUAAAUUUCUUAAGAGGUUUUCUUAUAGUGAUAAAAAAAUAUUUGUGAGAUUAAAUGUGUUCUUAUGAGAAUUAAGAGUGAUUAAAGAAUGAAAUCACUUGUUUACUCAUAAAAGAGGUAUUUUAAAUUUUUCAAGUAACAAGACCUUUUUUUAUUUAAAGAGCUUUAUCUUCUCUUUUUUUGAUUUUUUUGAUACACCUCUUCAUUAAACAUGGCUUUAAGUGAUAAUAAAGAUUUGAUAGUGAUUGAAAAGUUUAGAAAUAAUAAUUUCUACCACUAGAAGAAAAAAAUGGAUCUUUUAUUGGCUUCACUAGACUUUUGAAAUAUUGUUGAUGAAAGUGAUGAGCUUCCAAGCAAUGAUGCUCAUGUCAAGGUGAAGAAAGAUGACAUGCAUUGUGAAAAAAAGACUUUUGGCUUGAUUCUAUCAAAUUUAAAUGAUGCCAAUUUUUCACAUGUAAUUACUUACAAUGGAUGAGAAAAAGUAUGGAACACUCUUUACAACAUAUGUAAGAAUAGAAACCUUAUCAAUAUUCUAUAGACAAAGAAGAAAUUCUUAAUAAUAAAAAUAGAAGAAAGAAAUGACCUCAUAGCUCAUUUCAAAAAGGUAAUAGACUUGCAAAUCAACUAGCAAUUAUUGACAAGCUAGUUGAUCAUAAGGACAUUGUAUUGACAUUGCUCAUGAGUCUUUUUAAGUCCUACUACUAUCUCAUUGUCACAUUAGAGUCUAUCAAUAUGAAAGAGCUUACCAUGAAUUAUGUCAUAUCAAGAUUUAUCCAUGAAUUGACCAAGAAGAAAGAAAAAUAGCUUCAAAAUGAUGAUUUGGCUUUAUUUUUAAGACAAGGCAAAGGUAGAUAUUUUUACCAAUAUAAUAAUUUAAAAAGUAACAUAAAAAAUUACAAUAUUUAUAAAAAAUCAGCUUAUUUUGUUAAAAAUUACUACAAAGCUAAGAAAGGAGAUACGGAGAAUGCAUACAAUACUAGAGAUAAUUUUGGUAGAGAUGAUUAUGCUUUCAUGGCAAGUGAAGGAGCGUCUAUAAUUGCUAUGUCCAAGAGGAUUAUAGAUUUGGAUGCUACUAAGGACAUGAUACCAUAUAAAUAUUCAUUUGAUACUUAUGAAGAAAUUUCAGCAAUAAAUGUUUCAUUGGUAGACAAUGGUAUGGUAUAAGCCAUUGGAAUUGGCUCUAUUGUAGUGGAGAUCAUUGUGAAGAACCUAAUGAAGAAGAUUAGAUUGAAAGAAGUCCUACAUGUACCAAAAAUGAAGAAGAAUCUUUUUUUAGUGAGCAAACUUACAUUAUAUUGUUAUAAGAUUUAAUUUGAUAUGAAUGGAUUUUUUGUGAAGACAUUGGGUGGAGGAAAUAUUGCCAAAGGUUUGAGAGAUGGUAACUUCUACUUUAUCAAUUGUAAGAAGAUGAAUAAAAUUAAAGUGACGGUAUUUGCUCAGUUUCCACAAAAUCAAGACAAGUUUAAAAUUUGGCAUCAACAAUUUGGUUAUUUAAAUGCCAAAAGCAUGAAAGAGCUUCAAUCAAUGGUAAGUGGCUUGAAUCUUGGUCAAUUUAGCCACAAUAAUAUGACACUUGUAAAGAUUGUAUUCAAGGCAAACAACAAAGGGCUUCAUUUCCUAGAGAAGUUUCAAUACAUACUACCAAAUUGUUGGAGAAUGUGUAUUCUAAUAUUUAUAGACCAAUGAAGAUGCCAUUAAUUGGAGGAGAAAAAUAAUUUUUCACAUUUAUUGAUGAUUUUUUAAAAGGUAUGGAUUUACAUUCUUAAAGCCAAGAGUGACUGUUUUUUAAGGAUUUAAGGAAUUUAAGGCCCUUGUAAAAAAGCAAUGUGAGUGCAAGAUCAAAAUAUUGUAUAUAGACAAUAGAGGUGAAUAUAUGUCAAAAAAAUUUCAUGAAUUUUUAAAGAUCCAAGGCAUUGGAAGACAAACCUCUAUUCCUUAUAUUUUACAAUAAAAUAGAAUUGUUAAAAGAAUAAAUUGUACCAUUGUAGAGAUGAUAAGGAAUAUGCUUCAAGUACAAAAUUUUAGAUAUGAAUAUUGAAUAGAAUCUAUAAUUAUAGUAGUAUAUACAAAGAAUAGGUGUCAUAUUAGUACACUUACAUCAAUGAUUCUAUAAGAAGCUUAGAGUGGCAAAAAAUCUUGUAUUUUAGACAUAAAGAUUUUUGAAUGCAUUACUUAUAUAAAAAUACUAGAUUUUAUGAGGUCCAAACUUGAUAUAAAAAGUAUAAAAUAUUUAUUUUUUGGAUAUUAUGAAAGUACCAAGAUAUAUAGGCUUAUGUGUUUAGAAACCAAGAACAUCAUCAAGAGUCAUGAUGUAGAAUUUUUGGUGCAUAAUAGUACUCAUGAGCACUUAGAGAUGUAUUCAAAUGAGAGUAAUUGUGUAUUUGUGGAUAUAUUUUUAAUUUUGGCAAAAAAAAAAGAAGAAGAUGAUAACAAUGAAGAUGGUAAAGACAUAAGUGAAGAUGAAGAGCCAAAGAAGGUAGAUCAAAGUGUGUCUACAAUUGAUAGAACCAAUAGUAAAGACAAUGAAGAUGUUAAAAAUGAUGAUGAUGAGGAGUAUCAAUCAUUAAUUGUAAAGAAAUAAGCUUUAAGAAAGAAGAAGGUUGCAAGAGACCUUGAAGUGGAAGAGAGUGAAUCUUCAUCAAAUGAAAGGAGAUAUCUUUUGAAAGAUUAAAAAAAAAAAAAAAAAAAAAAAAAAAAAAACUUCGUGGUUGGUGGAUGAAUCACAUCUUUCUUCAAAUAAGUGAAAAACAUGUCAAUAUUUCACUCUUUGCUAAUUCAUUGAAUUUUUUUGAUGCAAUAAAAUCCAUGAAUGCUAUGAAGUAGGAAAAUGCUAUGGAAGAAUAAUAAAAAUCACUCAUCGAUAAUAAAACAUGAAAGAUGAUUCAACUUCCACCAAAUCAAUCUUUAAUUAAUUAUGAGUAGGUAUUUAGAACCAAGAAGGAUAUAAUGGAUAAUAUUCUGAGAUACAAGGCUAAAUUGGUUGCCAAAGGCUACUCACAAGUUAUUAGUAUUGAUUUUAAUGAGAUAUUUGCUCCCAUGGUGAAAUUCAACACUAUUAAAACCAUUGUGGCAAUUGGAGCAGUAAUGGACUUAGAAAUGCAUCAAAUGGAUGUGAAAACGGCUUUCUUAAAUAGAAAAUUAGAAGAAAUCUAUAUAGAUCAAUCUCAAGGAUUUAUUAAAGAUGGUAAACAACAUGUUUUUUGUAAAUUGAAGAAAUCUUUGUAUAGGCUUAAGCAAUCACCAAGGACAUAAUAUCAACAAAUUGACACAUUCUUCUUAAAUGAAGGAUUUGAAAGAAGUAAAGCUUAUUAUUUCAUAUAUAUGAUGUAAUUAAGUAAAUUCAUAUUAAUUGUCAUUCUCUAUGCUGAUGAUUUGAUCAUCUUAACAAAUACAUUAAAAAUGAUGGAUUGAUUGAAGAUAAAGUUAGAAAUGGAAUAUGAGAUGAGAGAUUUGGAAGAGCUUCAUUAUUUUUUAGGAGUGGAGUUUGUGAGAAAUCAUGCUAAAAAGACCAUUAUAAUGAGUCAAAGUAAGUAUAUUAAAGAAAUAUUGAAAUGAUUCAACAUAAAAGAAUGUAAGCCUAUAAGUACAUCUUUGGAGGUAAAUUUAAAGUUGAUGAAGCUCAAAAAUGAAGAAUUUGCUAAAAUUAAAGAUCAAAUAUGAGGUAUUUCAUAUAAGGCAAUAGUGGACUCACUUAUAUAUGCAAUGGUUGGUACAAGGUUGGAUCUUGCAUAUGCAAAAAGUAUUAUGAACCAACACAUAUCAAAGGCUGAAUCAAUCCAUUGAAAAACCAUCAAAAAGAUCAUGAGGUACUUAAAAGGCACUUUGUAUUUCAAAUUGUGCCUUGGAAGUGAUAACAUUACUUUAUAUGGUUAUUAUAAUGCUGAUUGGAUUAGAAAUACAAAUGAUAGAAGAUUAACAAAGGAAUAUAUGUUCUUUGUUGGAGUGGGAGCUAUCUCAUGGAAUUAAAAGAAAUAACUCUUAAUUGCAAGAUCGACAAUGGAUGCCAAGUACAUGGUAGCAAGUCAUGAUGCAAUAGAAGUAAUAUAGCUAAGAUAACUUUAAGAAGACAUUGGAGUAGUAUAAAUGGAAUCAACUUCAAUAGAGUAUGACAAUCAAGGAUGUCUUGCAUUUGCAAAGAAUCCAAAGCAUGAUUCAAGGAUUAAGAACAUUAACAUUCAAUAUCACUUUAUAAAAGAGAAGAUUGAAAUGGGAGUGAUUGAUAUGAAGUAUUGUAUAAUAGAAGACAUGCUUAUUGAUUUGUUAAAAAGCGCAUUAGUAAAAAAUAGGCAUCACAUAUUGACUAAGGCAUUAGGAUUAAAAGCCUUUAACCAAUAGCAAAAUAGGAGUGUUAAAAUAAAUAAGUAAAUAAAAAAAUAUGAUAAGUUACAUUGUAGAAGAUAUUACUUUAAAUAAGUUGCCAUUGAUUAAAGGGUUGGCUCUUAGUAUAUAAGAAGGCCAAGGAAUAAAGUAGAUGAACGGAUAAAAGAACUUAAGAAUAUAAAAAAUAUGCUAAAGUCAUAUUUUUAUUGUAGAUAAGAUAACAAAAGAUAGUCUUAGUAAAAUAUUUGAUGGAUGUAUUUAACAAAUGAUAGAAGUUGUCCAUUAGAGCAACAGCUACUUCCUAUAAAUAAUAGAUGUUGGAAGUAAGAAAUAUCUUAUUUCAUACUCUCUUUGAGAGCAAUAUUACUGAUGCUAUGUGUUGUUGACUUCAAAGUUCUUUUUCUUUAAUAACUUUUUAAUCAAUAAAAUAUAUCCUAAUGAUUUAAAUAUAUAUAUAUAUAUAUAUAUAUAUAUUCAAAGUUUGAUAAAUUAUUCAAAGUAAAUAUAAAUUUAAAAAAUUAUAAAACUAAAAGUAUGCAAAUAGAAGAAUAUAAUCAAUUAAUUCAAAAAAUAAUAAAUCCUAUUAAAACCAAUCAAAGCAAUUUACUUAUAAAACAAAAUUAUAUGCAAUAGAAAAUUUUAUAUAUAACUUCUAAGGUCUUUAAUUUUAUAAUAUAUAAAAUGAAAAUAAAAAUAUUAUAAAUUAUAAAUAAAAUCAUAAAUAAUAAAUAACUUAUAUAUUAAAUAAUUCAAAUAUAAAACAUUAAAUAAUUCAAAUAUAAAAUAUUAUAUAAUUUAUAAAAAGAUGAUUAAAACUAAUAUAUUAUAUUUAAAAAGAGAUAUAAUAUUUAGAAGUAAUAUUUUUAACUUGUAAUUAAGAUAUUAUUUGAUAAUUGAUCAUUUAGAUAGAAUGAAUAAAUCACUAAUACAGAUCAAUUCAUUAUAAAAAAAAAUAUCAAAAAUUCAAAAUAUUUAUUAAUUAAAAUGAUUACAAAUAUUGAUGUAAAAAAAUAUGUAACUUUAAAUGAUAUAAUAAUAUAAGAUAAAAUUAAAUGUAGAUUAUUAUUUAUUUUUUGUAAUAAAAAUUUUAAGAUUAAAUUAAAAGAACUAGUUCUUAAAAUAAUUAUAACACUUUUUCAUGGGAGUCAAGCUAAAUAUUAAAAUUACUUAUAAAAUAAAUUUUAGUUAAAUUAUGUAAUAUCAUGUUAAUAAAUACUAGCCAUCUUUUUUUUUUUUUAAUCUUUUCAUUAGGAAAAUAACUAUAAAAUCAAUUACUUAAAAAAAUCCACAACAUUUUUUAAAAAAUAAUCAAAAUUAAUAUAAAAACUAUAAUGAAAAAUAAAUAAAUAAAUAAAUAAAUAAAUAAAUAAAUAUUUAAAUUUCCAUAAUUGAUAAUUAUAUACAAAUAAUUUUUCAUUUAAGAAUAGAUAUAAUAUCUUUUGUAUACGAAAGAAGUAACCACAAAACAUUUUAUGUUCAUGAUGGAAACUUAAGAAAGCUUUUAUAUAAAUAUAAAUUUUUUAAAAAUUAAUUUGUUUUAGAAAUUAAAGCUCAAAAGUCAUAUAAGAAUUGGAAGAAUGAUUAAUAUAAAAAAAUAAGUGUUAUAAAAAAAAGAAUCAAGACACACAUCAAAACUAGUGAUAUGAAAAUAAUAUAUUUUCUAAAAAAUAGAAAAUGAAUUAAUUUAAAAAUAAAUUAAUAAAUUAACAUGGUUAUAUAAAUGAAUUAAUUUAAAAAGAAUACAAAAAAAGAAUAUAAAAAGAAGAAGCUAGAGAAAAGAUGCAAUUAAUGCAGAUUCAAAAAGCAUUAAUAAUUUUAGAAAAUUGAUUGUUAAAUAAAUAAAUAUAUAUGUAUAUAUAUAUAUAUAUAACAUAAUAUCAAUAAUAAAUUUUUUUGACAAAAAUGCAUAAAUACAUAUAAUUUUACUCACUUUGGAUAAUAUAUUUUUAAAUUAAUUAAUUAAUUAAUUAAAUUUAUUUGAUUUAUUUCUUUUUUAAAAUAUAUUUAGACCAAUUUCAACUCCUUAAGAAUGUCAUGGACAUACAUAUUUAUCUUGAUAAUUAUCUAGCUAAUAAGAAUAGAUAGAAGUAAGUCAAAGUAGAUAAAUAUGAUAAUAUCUUGUAGAUAGCUUCUUAGAAGUUUCAUAGACAUUGCUUUUCUUUUAUACAUGCCUAUAAGUGAUUAGUAGGUUGAAAACUUGGCCAACAAGGAGGCCAAAUGUCGACAUGUUGACCGCUUAUAGUAUAAAUUGGACAUAUGGCACACACCUAGGAAACUUGCUUUACAAAUUAGACAUGUGUCCUACAAGUUGGAUGUUUAUUAGAGGUCCUAUAGCAUGUCGCCGCAUAGUUUUUAGUUAAGUAGUAUAUAUAGAGGCAAGAGUGAGGCCUUCUUCAAUCUUGUCAAUUCCUUUCUUGCUUUUAGUGUAGCUUCAAGAAUCUUAUGUUUUCUAGUCUUUGGCAAUAGCCAUUCUAGUUCUUCUUUGAAUAUACAUAUUUUCUUCUAUUUUGUUACUUUUCUUUUUAUACAAAUUCUAUGAGUUUAUGUAUCUUCUUUUAGUUUGUGUCUUUGACAAAUUAAUAAGAGUCUACAUACAAUAUUAGAGUUUUGUCCUUUCUUCAUUAAAAGUAGAUUAUUCCUUUUUUUUUGAUAAGAUAUAAGCAUAUUAGAAGUUGCGGAUUACUGUCUUUUAAAUUGAUAUUAUUUUUAGAAUUUUUUUUCAUGAUUCUUGAAUAUUAUAUUCUAUAAGUAUAGACACAUUUUUUUUUUAUUGUACUAGCAUGGCAGAGCUUCCUAAAAUGAAGAAUGUAAUGGUUGAAAUGCAAAAGCAAAUGAGAGAAUUAAUGCUUGAAAUACAUCAAUUCAAUCUACCACCACAAGAAGCAAUAAGAUUAUCAAGCAAUGAAGAUAUAGAGAUGAUUGGAGUUACUUCAACAUCUACACUAAGUCAUACUACUACUCUUACAACAGAACAUCAUUUAAGUUUCAAGAAACCAAAAAUUAGAUUACUUGAAAAGUUUGAUGGCAUAAGAUCUAAGUUUUGAGGAUUCAUCAAUCAGGUACAAUUGAUAAUUGAACUACAACCUCGAAGUUAUCUAACUCAAAGAUCACAAGUCAAGUUUAUUAAAGCACUACUUUCAAGUUAUGUUUUAUCAUGAUUUUCAUCAUUUCUUGAAUGACAUGAUGCAAUAUUGCAUAAUUUGAAAGUAUUAGUAGCAGAGUUUUGAUCUAUGUAUAGAGAACAUGAUGCAAAUUAUAUUGCAACUAACAAGAUUUGUAUCUUACGACAAGACAAUCAAUUAGUGAUAUUAUAUGCUUCAUAAUUUUGAUAAUUAGCAACAGAUAUCAAGUAGGAUGAUGCAACACUCAUCAACUAAUUUCUCUAUGGAUUAUAAUAUGAAGUAAAGAAAUUGAUGCUUAAAUUAGUUGAUCCUCAAAUCUUGAGUCAAGUAAUUAAUUUUACUCUGAAAUAUGAUAAUUGGCUUUUUGAAUUUCGAUCUGAGAAUUGCAUAAGAAAGCCUCAAGAUUAUUAUAAUUUAAUGACGACACCAAUAAUUCUUAAAUCUAAAAAUUUGGAAGUAGAAGACAUGCAAAUUAAUACAAUACAUUUUAAAUCUCUUACUGAAUAAGAAAAGAUUCAUCGUUGUCAAAAAGGACGAUAUUUAUAUUGUGAAAAAGCUAAGCAUACUACUCAAUAUUAUCUAAAGAAAUAAAGCAACUAUAAAAUAAAGAGUACUGCUAUCAAAGAUGAAAACAUGUGAGAAAAUGAAUUUGUACAACUACAAUAGGAACUAUGCAGUUGGAAUCUUGUACAAUUUCUAAUAAAGGUCCUAUUCUUUCCUCAAAACCCUCUCCUUGUUUUAUAAUAGAUGUGUAUUUAGGAUCUAAUAACCACAAAGCCUCUAUUUUAAUAGAUUGAGGAGCCUCACCUUGUUUUUUAGAUGAAGAAUUUAUAAAAAGUCAUAAUAUACACUUAGUACAAAAAAUUAAACCCAUACACGUAGAAAUCAUAGACAAUCGUUUAUUAUCUUUUAAAGAUAUUACUCAUGAAAUACUUUCUAUAGAUGUAAUAAUAAAUGGUCAUAAUAGUCAUGUAAUUUUUAAUAUAAUUAGAUCUCCUUCUAAUCCAAUCAUUUUAGGUUUAUCGUGGCUAAAAAAAUAUAAUCUUGUGAUAGAUUAGAUUUCUUGUAAACUUGACUUUUUUUCAAACACCAUUAAGUUUUUUUCUAAUCCAAUAAAAAGCCAUGAAUCUAGUAUAGCCAAACAUGUACUUAUAUAUGCAAAAGCUUUUUUAGAUGCUAUAAAAGAAGGAUCAUCUUUUUUUAUUUAUGCCACACCCAUUUCAAAUAAUGGAAAGAUUUCAAGUGAAAUUCCAAGUCAAUAUUAAGAUUUUAAAGAUAUUUUCGAGAAGAAGAAUGCAGAUAUUAUCUUGAAGCAUCAUCCAUAUGAUUGCUGAAUCAAUCUUAAAGAAAGAACUUAGUCGCCAUUUGGUCCAAUCUAUAAUUUAUCACAAAAUGAGUUACUUGAACUCAAGAGGUAUAUUGAUGAGAACUUGGCCAAGAAUUUCAUACGCCAUUGAAAAUCUCUUACAAGAGCUCUUAACUUAUUUAUAAAGAAAAAAGAUAGUUCAAUUCAAAUAUGUAUGGAUUAUCGAGGAUUCAACUAGAUUACCAUCAAGAAUAGAUAUCCUUUGUUUUUGAUAUCUGAACUUCUUGAUCAAUUAAAUCAAGCUAAGAUCUAUACAAAAAUAGAUCUACAAAGAGCGUAUAAUUUGAUACACAUUAAAAAAAGAGAUGAAUAGAAGAUUACAUUUCGAACAAAGUAUGGACACUUUGAAUAUAAUGUCAUGCCUUUUAGACUCACAAAUGCACCAAUUGCUUUUCAAUAUCUUAUGAAUGAUGUUUUUUGUGACUUUCUAGAUGAUUUGGUUGUCUAUUACUUAGAUGACAUUUUAAUCUACUUUAAGAAUGCAGAAGAAUAUGAAGUUCAUGUUUGUCAUGUAUUACAAAAACUUAGAGAUGCAAGAUUAUAUACCAAGAUGAAAAGUGUAUAUUCCACACUAUUCAAGUUGAAACAUCAUUUCAAACAAUGGUCUAAUGAUGGAUCCUAAAAAAAUUCACACAAUCAUAGAUUAGAAGAUUCCAAAAACAAUAAGUGAUGUAUAAUGUUUUUUGGGAUUUGCCCAUUACUAUCAGAUCUUCAUCAAGAACUUUUCUUAAGUUGCAACGCUACUUACACACUUAACUUAUAAGAACAAGCUUGAGUAGAAUAAAGAAGUAAAAGCAUCAUUUUAAGCUUUGAAGAAAGUUUUUACUUUUGCACCAAUCUUAUAUUACGUUGACUUCUCCAAAGAAUUUUUUAUGGAAAAAAAUGCAUCUAAUUUUGCCUUAAAUGUAGUCUUUUCAUAAAUAGGAUUAGAUGACAAACUUCAUCUAAUAGCUUUUCAUUCAAAAAAAAUUUCAGCAGUCAAGAUUAAUUAUGAGAUCCACGAUAAAGAACUUCUUGCAAUUGUGGAUUCUUUUCAAGAAUGGCACCAUUAUUUAGAAGGUGCUUCAAGUCCAAUCACUAUAUAUAUGGAUCACAAGAACCUUGAGUAUUUCAUGUUAGUACAUAUUUUGAAUCGUCAUAAUUCUCAUUGGAGCAUGUCUUUGUCAAGAUUCGAGUUCAAUAUCACUUAUUGGCCAAGAAAACAAUAAGAUUUGUCUAAUGUCUUUUCUAAAUGUUCUUAUCUUACAUCAAAAGAAGGAAAAUCAACUUUUGAUCAACAAAAGAUAAUUUUACUGAAGCUUGAAUAAUUUCAUCUCGGAGUAAUGAAAUCAAUAUUAACUAUUGAUUUGACUUUUUUCAAGCAGAUCCAAGCAAGUAUGUUCUCAGAGUUUUUUAUUCAUGAUAUUAAAAACUAUUCCUCUAAGUCUCAAGAUACUUUUGAGUUUGAAUUUAAAGAGAACCUACUCUAUUUCAAAGGAUACUUAUAUAUUCCGGAAGGAGAAGCAUGAUUACGUGCUCUUGAAGCUCAUCACAAUUUCUCUGCAGUAAGACAUUUUGGAUAUAAUAAGACUUUGGAGCUUAUAUCUAAAGAUUUUUAGUAGUUUCAAAUGUAGAAGGCUAUUAAAGAAUUUUUGUAGAUAUGUGAUAUUUGUUUAAGAUCAAAAACUUCUCGUCAUCGACUUUAUGGACUCCUCCAACCAUUACCUAUACCAAAACAACCAUGGUCUUUUGUCUCUAUAGAUUUUAUCAUGAAUCUUCCAAUUUCAAGUUCAUAUGAUUUCAUAUUUGUGAUUGUAGAUCGUUUCACUAAGAUGGCACAUUUUUUAUCAUGUACAAAAUUUAUCAUAGGUGAAGGAAUAGCUAAAUUCUUCCUUGACAAUAUUUAUCGCUAUUAUAGAUUAUCAAAGGAUAUUAUAUUAGAUAAAAGAAUAUAGUUUUUAUCAAGUUUUUAGAGAAUUCUUUUAAGAUAUUGAAAAUGGAUAUAAAACUAUCUUUGGCUUUCCAUCUUUAAAUUGAUGGACAAACAAAAUGGAUAAAUCAAAUUUUAGAUUAGUAUUUGAGGUGUACCAUCAACUAUCAACAAGAUGAUUGAACAAUUCUUUUGCCAUUGGUAAAGUUUGCUUACAAUAAUUUGAUACAUUCUUGUACUCAAGAAACAUCUUUCUUUGCCAAUUACGGUUAUCAUCCACGAUUUGACACUUUUGACUUUUCAAAAGUUAAUAAUCUUGCAACAAAAGAUGUGGCAAAUUGAUUGUCAGAGCUAUAUGCAAUAAUGAAGGUACAAUUAAAAGAAUCUCAAGCAUGAUAAAAAAUCAAUGCAGAUAUCUAUUGCAAGGAACAACCUCAAUUUCAUGUGGAAGAUAAAGUAUGGUUACUUCAUCGUAAUAUUAAAACUAUUUGUCCUUGUGACAAGCUAAAUUAUCGUAGGCUUGGACCAUUUCCCAUUUGUCAAUAGAUCAAUCUAAUUGCUUAUCGAUUACAUCUACCAAACUCUAUGAAAAUCCAUCUUGUAUUCUAUGUAUCUUUACUUGAACUAUACAAGACAAUGGAUAUAUAAGGAAGGAGACAAAUGCCACCACUUUCUAUAGAAGUAGACAAUAAUGAAGAAUUUGAGGUGGAAGAAGUCUUAGAUUCAAGGCGGUACCAAAAUAGGUUAAAAUAUCUAGUACAUUGGCAUGGAUAUGACAUUAAUGAAUGCAUAUGGGAGCCAUCCAGGAAUCUAGGAAAUGCAUCAACUAAAGUUAAAGCUUUUCAUCAACGACAUCCAUCAAAACCAACAUGAAGAGUCAAGAAAUUCUUUGCUAUAAAGCAAAGCAAGCCCAAUGGAGAUUUCAUUCUAUCUUGUAUCAUUGUUUCUUUAGAUUUUUUAAUGCUUAGGAGAUGGAGAACCAACAACUAGCAGAUUCAGCUCAAGAGCUAUCAUUUACUGAGCUACAUGACGAGACAUUACGAUUAUCACAACCUUCAAGAUUACAAAAUUGAAAUGAAGAUCUUUAAGAACGAUAUAUUUUUUCUUGAAUAGAUGGUGAAAUAUAACGCGUUUGGUACCACAACCUUAGAAAGCAUCCCUGUUGUUUAGUAAUACUUUUGGAAGUAUGAACUACUCUUGAUGGUAUUACUAAUGUUUUGUUUGAACGAAGUUAUGAAGGCCUCAAUAAUGAUCAAAUAUUAGGGUGAUCUUCUCGCCCUAGUAUGGGACAUUAUUGAUGGUUGAAGGGACCUAUCAACUACCUUCAAAGGAAACAAAGAUCACAAUAUGUGACAAAUACAAUUCGAUGCAUCUUAGACUUCAUCAACAUACAAUGACAGCUCCUUAUGGAACUCGUCCCUAGAAAGGGGGAUAAUGUCACAAAUAUACAUAUUUAUCUUGAUAAUUAUCUAAAUAAGAAGAAUAUGUAGAAGUAAGUCAAAGUAGAUAAAUAUGAUAAUAUCUUGUAGAUAGCUUCUUAGAAGCUUCAUAGAUACUGCUUUGUCUUUAUACAUGUCUAUAAGUGAUUAGUAGGUUGAAAACUUGGCCAACAAAGAAGCCAAGUAUCCACAUGUUGACCACUUUUAGUACAAGUUGGACAUAUGGCACACACCUAGGAAACUUGCUUUGCAAAUUAGACAUGUGUUUUAUAAGUUGAACAUGUAUUAGAUGUCCUAUAGCAUGUCGCCACAUAGUUUUUAGUUAAGUAGUAUAUAUAGAGGCAAGAGUGAGGCCUUCUUCACUCUUGUCAACUCCUUUCUUGCUUUUAGUCUAGUUUCAAGAAUCUUAUGUUUUCUAGACUUUGGCAAUAGUCAUUCUAGUUCUUCCUUGAAUAUACAUAUUUUCUUCUAUUUUGUCACUUUCUUUUUGAUACAAAUUCCAUGAGUUUAUGUAUCUUCUUCCAAUUUCUGUCCUUGACAAAGAAUCCCAUGAAUGUAUUCUUUUUUAGAUUAUACUAUUGUUUUAUAUUUCUACUAUAAAAUAUUGGUUAGGCUUUAAAUAGUUUUCACUAUUCCAAAAUAAUAACAUUACUACUAUCAUUUAAUGCAAGUGUAUUUUGUACCAAUUUCCUUAGUUAGAUGGAAGAUACCAGCCCAUGUUUUACUUAAUUGUGAAAAAAAUCAGAAUAUUAGCUCAAGCUCCCGAACGCACGUGCAGCAGAACAACAACCGGUGACCCCUCCAACUCAGAAAGGCACAGCCACUGUUGGUAACUGGGAAUUGCCGGUAAACUCAGGAGAUUGAAGCGUAAACCCCGCUUGGGGCUUUUAGGUCGUCCUAAACUCUCACUUCACCUCCGCGGACUAGCAGGUUCGUCUCGCAAUCGGUGCGAUUGCUUCCCUGCCCCAUUCAUUGUGUGCGGCAUCGGGUCCUUCCAUCUUUCUCCUCACUUUCCCAACUUCAUUUCGAGCAUUUAUUUGUAGCUUUUGGUGGUUUGUGGAGGUAAUUAGAGAUUGCUGACAAGUAGAAAGCGUCGAAACUGAAGGGACUUUAAUUUUAGGUUCGUUUGGCGUUUUUGCCAUUUUCCAUUGUAGCUGAGGAUUUCUGGUCUUAAGGUGUUGAAGUGGCCGACAGUUGGUCGUGUUAGGCGUUUGAGUUUGGAGCGGAUUGAAAGAAGGGAGUUCAAUUUGUCGAAUCAGGGUUGGGUUUUGAUUGUGCCGCCUUUUUGCGGCAAUUUUUGCAUUGUUAAUUCGAUCGUCAAUCUUUUUAUGUGAGCGCUUUCUGUGUCUAAAUUUUGUCGUAUUGGUGCAAUCAUGGUUAUUCAUAUUUCGGGGCCAUUGUGUGAUGCGUAGGAUUUUUCUUUUCAAAUCUAGUUCAAGGAGCUGAAUCCGGCUACAAGGAGAUCAAAAUGCAGGCUGUGCGGGCUGCUGUGUUGAAGCGCAUGCGAGUGGGAGUGACCGCACCAUGGGUUCAAGCUCCUGUUGUUACCAAUGCCUCUCGGCUAUUUUCCGCUGAGGCCCACGGGACGUACUUGGACAAGCACGUCGUUACCGACCGCGUUUUGAGUGUUGUCAAGAAAAUGCAGAAAGUGGAUAGCGCUAAGGUAUCGUCUCGUGAUCAGAGGGUCAACUGCUUUCAUAUGGAAUGAUAUUGAAUACACGUGAAGAAAACUCACGUGCUUUUAUAAUUCUUGUGAAAUCUUAUGUGGUAUGACAUUAUUAUGCCUUUAGGGUAGGAAGCUCGAAACCAAGAAUUUGUCCACCAACAAUUCUCUUCAGCUGUGUCCUCUUGGCUGCCACUGGUGGUGUGACUCCAGAGCAUGACCAGUUUGUAGUGAUCAUCGCUCGUGACGUCAUUUUUCUAUAUGGCUCGAGAUGUGGGAUUGAAACUAUGAGCAACGGUCUCCUAGUACUGUGUUGAAGAAUUUUUUUAAUGUUUCUCACACCAAAACCUAAUUACCACUAUACGUAUUAUAAAGCGGCUAAGCAAUAUCAUUGUGUGUUUGGAAUAGGUGACUCCCAAUGCACAUUUUCAAAACGAUUUGGGACUCGACAGCUUGGACACUGUAGAGGUUGUCAUGGCCUUUGAAGAGGAAUUUGCAAUUGAGAUCCCCGAUGCUGAUGCGGACAAGAUCACUUCGUGUGCCGAUGCUAUUGAGUACAUUGCUUCUCAACCCAGAGCAAAGUAAAGAAAUGGAUUAAAGUUUUGGUUUUACCCAGGCAAUUUGUGAAUUGCAAUGAAACUUGUGGAGGUCCUCCUGGUUGGGUAGGAUUUUCGUGUUCUGUUAUUCUUCGGUGUUGAGGAUAUUACAUGCCAAUCUUUCUAGACUUAAUGUAAGUGACAACUUCACUUUCCCCAAUAUCUCUCAUCAUGGUGAUAAUAAUACAGCGGUCUUCAUUGCAAUUAGCGAGCCAAUGUACUUGCAACUUUUUCAGUGCUUGGAUUAUAUCUUAAAAAAUUCAAGCGGCUGGACGUGUGCGUCCUAAUCGGUUGGCAAUGUACUGUCGAUUGAAGUACCGCGUAUUUAUCCAAUCAACGCUAGAUGUAUUUGAAAAGGAGUCUAUUUCGAAAAAUUCCGUCUGCUUUACAGUGAUGAGAGGUACUGAUAGAGUGGAUUGUAUGUUAAAGUAGAACAAUGUUCCAACACCAAACAAGUACACAGUUUGAGAUUGGUGAUGUUCAAACAGACCUACACACAUUAAUCGAAGUGCAAGCGAUGUCGGAAGUGUCCUGAUCAAAGAUGAAAAAUAUAGUCUAUUCCACUUUCAAUAUUUGCAGGGGACUUACCACUAACACCGAGCGAUGCCAACGACUAUUCGUACAAAUGAGCAGCGAAAAAAAUAUCACAUUCCACUUCCGAAACUCGUUCAACGCCGGACUAUGAGCCUCCCUUCCAUCCUAAUCCCACGCAAUGUCAAUUACCACUAGCAAUUUACACAACCUUCAAGCGAAAAUCAACCUAUACACAAACCAUAACAGCUAUAGCUCCUUCCUUUACCAUAAUCACUAAUAAUAUGUCAUCUUGCUGACAUCUAGCUUUCAGUUACAGUAAUGUCCAAAGUCCCAGUCUUCAGUCAUAUCUCAAACCCCAUCUUAUUUCAGCAUGGCCAUCAUCACCUUCACCUGCACUCUGAUAUGUUAAUGCGUGCAUGUGUACUUUUGUAUAGAGUGCAGUAAAUCACACAUUCUGUAAGAGACCUUCACAAAUAUGGAACAAAACUGAUGUCGUACAGACUUUUACUACCUAAAUUGAUUACACUCUUCAUAGUAUAGUACACUUAAUAGGUUCACAAACCAUCAUCAUGAAAGUUUGAGGUUGAGCUCUGAGAACGUCCAGUGUUAUAGACAUAGCAAGGAGUUGCACCACACACUUUCAAGUUGAAUUUUAGUUAUAGGCAACACUAGGAAACUAAUAGAAGGUAUAUCUAACAUCUAUGAAUGAUAAAUUUGAAAGUCAAGACUAAUGUUGGGAGCUAAAUUAAAGUUUGAAACUUUUGAAGUUAGCAUUAGGAUUAAUAUAGAAAUUAAUGCAAAGAGUAAUCAUUGCAGACUUAAAACAUGAGGGACAUAGAUCUAUGAGCAUAGAGACGAUAUUGGCUUAACAUACAAAAAUUGAAGAAACAAAAAUGAUCCUUUUGUAUUGCAAGGCAUAAAAAAAAAAAAACACAAAAACACAAAAAAACUCAAAACACAAAACACAAAAACACAAAAAACAAGAACAAAAACAAAAAAAACACACAAAUAAUUCUAUCUCACAAAACAAGCACGGAGAGAAAACUGUUCCAAGGAUAUGAUAGAAGUUACAUCAAAUACACUAAGCUUAUAGAAUUAACAACGGUGGAGAUUGAUAACCCUCUGGAAUGUGUCAAAAUUGAAUUUCUAUUUAAUUGUGUUGUAAUUGUAGGUUUUGCAGAAAGUAACCAAACUCCUCCAAGCAUUGAUGCAUGCCUUGCUAAAUUAGAAAAGUAUUUAAGAAAAACAAUUUAGAAAAAAAAUUGGAAAAAACCUCUAGAAAACUUAUAUUAAUUAACAUUUGGGCAUAAGUGAUAAAAACUUUGAAAAUGCCAUUACUUACAGUGUAACAAUAGAGUGCAAAAGUGUAGUAUAUAGAAAUCAUAAUAGGAAGAAGAUUUCAUGUAAGAGAACUAAAAUUUAGGACAAUUCUCAUACUAUUAAUUAAAUACACUGCCUAUAACUACAAUUAAACCUAGCACUUGUAAUUGCACUCCCCUAGCAUAUACGAAAAAUUACCAAAGUCAAUUAACUAAUGAAUCAUGGCAAGAAAUACAAAGAGAUUUAAAAUUGAAUUUUUUGGAUUUUUAAAAUUCUAAAUACAAUAAAAAUUUCAUCAAGAUACUUAACGAUAUUGUAUAAUGCAAUGACAUAUGAAAACAAUAAAAGACCCACUUAAACCCAACGUCCAAAAUAAACCAGGAAAUUCAUACCCAACCUUUACAAAUAAACAAUUGUGAAGUGUGUUCCUUUUCAGUAAAACUAAAACUAAAAUAACCAAAUUCAAUUUUGAGAAUAACCACGAGGUUAAUUUAACUUCAGGUUUGUUCCGAAGAAAUUUUACACUCAAAUAACGUGUCCCAAAUGAAAUAACACUUCAAAUUUGUCAGAUAUCAAACAUAACUAAAUACUUGGAAUACUUCCAUCAAAACGCUUCUCACUUCUUCCAAAGGAUGGAAGUGGAUUCAACUCAUACACACCAAAAUAUGGCCAUUACAUCGAAUUCAUUCAAGAUUUCACUUCUCUAGCAUUCCCAACUUAAUCCACAUAUUUGAGCAAAAAACUUUGUUUCCACGCAAACACCUCAAUAACACGACUACAUAAAAACAGAUAACAAAAAGCAAGAACAAACAAACACAUGCUGUGACGCUGUUUCCUAUUGGUGAAACAUUCCAACCACUUUGUACUUACAAAUUGAUUCUACAAGUGCCUACAGAUGCUUCUGCAUCUACCAUGUGUUUGUAAAAACUUCUCCUACAAUUUUUGUGCAACCAGAUAUUUACUGCAGAAACACGCAAAUUCGGCACUCGUCAGACGAAAAAAAGAAACAAGACGACACGACACGACACCGUGAAUGUCGCAUCCCUGAACUCUGAUUGCAUCAUUCAAACUAUCUCCACAACUACCGUAAUCUGCUCAAUCGCAGCACCCGAUAGCACGUUGCCAAUCAAAGCAUCCAAUAACAUCCCCAUGUCACUCAAAACAGCAUUCCAUAGCACACUCUGAUACACCCCUACCCACCAUGUACUUCCAUCCAACUUCUACGCUAUCAACAUUCGUGCUUUCUGCCACCCCGACCUCACCCGCACCAAAUAACUCAAAUGCUGUCCCCUGCUAACUCAGCAUCACCGCCUCGCAAACCCGAACGCAUCCUCACUUCGUACUCACCGCAACCCCCACUCACUUGCCCCGGCCAUCGCCCACACGAUGCACUCCACUAAGAUUCCCACUCCUGACCACGCCCAACACACCCCACCCAUGCUCACGCCUCCUUGCCUCCCUGCCACAGGAGGACCCCUCCGACCUCCCACCUCGAGCCCAUCCCAUCGCGCCUUCCCACACCCAACGCGCACUCCCGUGCACCAAGACCCGCUCCCUUUCACAUACACCGACCUACUCACCCAACGAUAUCCACCAUUCCGCUAUGCGAUCCACGCUCGUCGGGGCAUUGCUCCAACAUCCUCGCACGUCCUUUCAUCUACUCUCUGCACAUCUCGACCACACACGCUCCACACUAUACCACUCACACCAAAACCGGUGCCGGUCCACGACACACACACACAAACACACACAACCACACAACACAAACCCUCCUCCCACGCACCCACCCACAGUAAAUCGUACCCUUCCAUCCCACGUUCACAAAGCGCAUUCAACCCACCAGCUCACCCAUCACCUCAACUACUCCACUCCCCUUUUCACCGCAAAAACACAGCUUGCAACUGCACCCACAACCACACGCCACGGCCAUCCAUGACUACCAUCCUCGAAAGAAAUGGGUACUAUGCAUUCAUGCAUCCCAGCCCGUAGGCCACCCCGACACACUUGGAUGCGCACUCUUUGCUUACUCACGAUGACUCAACUCUUCAUCGCCAAAACAUCUUAACAUACCAUAAUGUCCGCACCACUCUGCCGGUAAUGCUGGAAGAUAGGCAAUAUCAAACAGUUUCUUCUAGCCUCCCUCAUUCAUACAACACUUCCUCUAGUCCCAUCAGUUCAUGGUCCCUCGUGUGUGCACAAACGCCCAGCCCAGCAUUCUGGACUGCGCUUGCUCAACUGUCACUGUCAGGCCCAGAUCGUGCUUUGCAACCCGCCUGCUACUACUAUCCGCCUUAUCACGGCACACUCUACUCGAACGCCCACUGAUUCUCCCUCCUCACUUCCUCUUCCUCCUCCGGAGUGAAGUCGUUCUUGAUGUUGAACGUUUUCCUGAUCUCCUCCGGCGUCUUCCCCUUUAUCAUGUCCGCCACCGUCUGGCACGUCAAGUCCAGCAGGUUCUUGAUGUUCAAGUAGUUCGCUGCCUGUUCCCAUCAUUCACCACCCCGACGUCAGCACAACUCCUCACCCCAAGUCACCCCCUCCUCUCUCGCCCCACAAACGUUGCACGCGCCAUCAUCGCGCUUCCGCCCCCGCUGGGAUGCACCCCAUCCCCCGCCCUGCACGCAACAAACAGGGUCGCAUGCACAUCACUUACCAGGAUCAGGUCGAACAGCGUAGCUUGGUCCACCUUCACAAAGUCCGCGUCCCACGCCUUGAUGUCGUCCUCCGAAGCGGCGGGCUUGUCAUCCGUCGCCCCCUUCUGAUUAUCCACGUGGUACUUGCAGUAUUCGAUCACCUUCGCCAGGAUCUUGCUCGACACGUUGGGCAGCGGGAUCACGGCGUCCUUGCCCGUGUCCUCGAUCAUGUUCUUCACCGCCUGUGACUCGAACGCCACCGCCUCGUCCACCUCGAACAUCUCGUCAUCCGAGCUCCUCAAUUUCACGCGCUGCUCCGCCAUGGCCACCAACAACGGUCACCGGAUCCCUGCACACACCCACCCAACAUAUCAACCGCGUUCAGAAUUCCUUGUCCGCCUACCACCUCCGGUUCCGCCACCACCGUGCUUCCCCAUGCCAAUGUGACCAAACAUACUCGUGACCCCACCACCAAAUCGUCGGAACCACCGACACUUGCGAUCGCCCUCUCCGACGUCGACAACCACCAAGCCUCGACCGGGACGCACUCACGCCGCACAAUGUAGGCGUGGGCUCCACAUCGACACCGCCGUGGGCGAGAGACCAACCCUGGACCGACCACAACGGCCAACCCCUCUGCGGCGUACUCCGCUCGCCCACCCUUUGCUCCAUGCAAAUCGACGCCAUGCUGCGCAACAGGGCUCCGCGGCUCGGAACCCCCUGCCCGACCCACCAGCGCCCACAUACCCUAAACGCCGCUGCAAUCCUAAAAUGCUGCCGACCACGGAGUCUCCCAGCGUCACGCCCUGACAAAGCUGCGCUGCUACAACUUUGCCACCAAACUCAACGACAACCUAUGCGCCCACUCGUGCUCUCCCCCCCCCCCAACACUCAUCGUAGCUCAAACGGGAUUGCGCACCACCCCUGGCCGCUUCCCACGACAUGCCCGGUGCUCAGCGUUCCUUCAAGAACACUCUUAACUCGGGCGCUCACUCGUACCUCAUCCAACCCACCGUUGUGCCCACGCUAAACGCUAACGCAACCAGACCCUUUCCACCCCACGCUUGCGUCAAAUUCUGACGACACCAACCCACCCAAUCUGCUGCGUGUUCUGCGACACCCACGCCCAACCGCAACACACAAACACCCGAUCGAUGCCGCGCCCAGAUUCACAUCGCUUCUCGUCAAUCCUUCGGACCACGGACCGCAAUCCGCUGCCCUUCGACGGCCCCCCAAAGCGCACACAAAUCGCACCCCAAGUAUCAAUUCUCCAAACGGGUUCCCAAAUUGAACCCGCGAAGAUCACCCGCGACCCUAACAAUCCACCUCCGCGGCCCAACCUAAAGCCCUGGGCGCUCGAUCCUCCUCGUCCUCUACUUCCAUUCCCGCAGCAUCAAUAACCACAUACACGAACGAACAAACAAACUGCACCAGACGGACCAUUACCAACACCAAAUUCGUCGCGGAGAAAUCACCAGGCAACGGGACCCGCCACACAACCUGCACUGAUACAUACACUCACCUGCGGGCGUGAUUGAGGAUACCGCACAGCAGAACGGCCCUGGAUGCGAUGCAGCGACGUCAAUCAGCUUCGCAAUUCCCUUCUCCGGCUAACGAAGCGGGAGAGCCAAACUGCCAAAAAGCGCACAGUGACGAUGAUGAAACGAGAGCUAAAAUGAAGAGAAGCAGCAAAAUCGGAAGGAUGGGAAUCGCAAAUUCCAGAACGAAGGGAGUGCGCGAGGAUCGAAGCGCCGGUCAGAAGAGAGGAGUCGCGACCUUGUGGAUUGGGAACGGCGGCGAGAACAUUCGGGGAGCUUCUAGGGAACGAGGGUGCAGCUGUGGGACGAACGAACGGACCAGAUGAAUAAACAAAUAAAACAAUUGUUGGAUGAAUCUCCCGGUUUGGAGUCCCGAUCUUCAAGCACAUGUACCAUUGCGAUUUAUAACGUAUUCAAUAGCAACUUCUAAAUUUUCAUAUCUUGCAUUUUCUCACAGCAUUUUAGCAUGGCUUUGGUAUCUCUCACCACAAAUCUUAUGUUUGUAAAAUAAUGGAUUGGUAUGUUUUGGUCUUCCAGUGUUGUUUUUUUUUUUUUUUUUUUUUUUUUUUCGUUUUUUGUUGUUGUUGUUGUGAGAAUAAUUAUUUAAUUUUCUACCAUUGUAUAUUAUUACAUAUUUAAGGAUAUUUAUAGUAUUUCUUCUUGUAGAUCUUGUAAUUUUGACAUUCUAAUUGUUCAAUUGUAUAAUAUUCUAAAUAUUUGCUAAUUGUAUUUUAUAUAUACCCUUAAAGUCUACUUUGGUUUCUUUACAUAAGUUUAGUUGUGAUUUCUUUUUUUAUUUUAUGCUUAGCAUAUUACUUAGAUCAAAUGAAUUAAUAAUAAAAACUUUGUUUUGAUCAAGGACUAUAUCUUAGCUAUAUACAACAUAAAUUGGAACUAAUUCUCUUACAUUAUCCAUAUUAUGAUUGAAUCCAUGUUUUGCCAAUAAUAUUUUAUUAUAUGCAAAAAAGAAUAUACUAUAUCAUUUUUGAUUGAUUAGAAGAUUUUCUAUGUAUUAAAUCUAGUAUAGUCUUGAGCUUUUGAUUUGAUAUAUUUCUAUCACCUUCACAUUUAUUCUAUAACCAAUGUUAUCUUAGAAUAGGUUAUCAUUCCUUUUUUUUUCAUGAUAUUUUUUUAGAAAGAAGUUAUUUUUUUAUAGAAAUCAUUUUAUUUUAUACCUAAUAAAUCAAUUAUAUUAAAUUAAUUCUAUUUAAUGUAGUCGAUAUUCCAUGUUACAUAGAUAAAUUUAGAAAGUAGAUAAAUAAGAAAUAGAUAUAAAAUAGAAAUAAAUUAAUAUGAUUAUUACAAAUUAUAAAAAAUAUAAAUUUUUUUGAAUAAAUAAUAUAGACUAAAAUUAGACUUGAUAAGAUCAAGAAUUAUCUAAAUCUUACUUCCAUACAUAUUAGCUACCAAAAAGGUCUUAUAAAAGUUUUAAAUAAUAAAUAACUACAUAUGCAAGUAUAUUUACUUAAAUUAGUAGAAUUAAAUUGAAAUAAGUAGAUGUAGGUUAAAUUGUUGAUAUCUUAUUAGUAAGCUUUAUACGUAGGCCACAUAAUCAAUUUAAUACACUUUAGAUAUUAAGAAGUUUUCAUGUUAAUUAAAAUGAAGCAACUUUAGGAUCCUUUUUAAUUAAGUUCUUUAAUUAUUCUAAAGUUUCCUUGAAUUUGUUGGAAUAUUUUGAAAACCUUUUAAAAUCUUCUAUAAUAUUUUUUUUGAAAAUCUUCUAAAUCUUUUAAAAAUCAAAUAGAAUAUUUUAAAAAUAUUUCUAAAAUCUUCUUAUUGGAUGUGUAUAAUAUUAUUUCUCCUUGUAACUCUAAGUUUUACAACGAGCAUUGAUUUUAUAUCUAUAAGAAUUCAAAGAUUUGUUGAAUAGUAGUUGUAACUUAUGUUGCUUAUUGAUUUCUAUUUAAAAGAUAGACUAAUCUAUUUAGAUAGCAAUAAUGGCUACCUUUCUUUUCUUUUAGAAGACCUAUUCUUUAGACUUGGUUAACUUUAAGGCCUUCAAAACAUCCAUGAAAUGUUACUUUAGUCCCAUUAGAGUCUAUUACACCAACUUGCAAUAAAAUAACUAAAGCUUGGAUAUAAUUUUGGAAGUUUUUUUGAUUGAGUUGAAUGUAGCAUGGAUGUUUCUUUCCUUCAAAAAGUCCAGCUUUAUCUUAAGAAUGAUUUUUCGAAGAUUGCAAGAUUUAGAACAAUUCAUCUAGUGGUUAUUAUAAGAAAAGAUCCAAGUCUAGGUCUAGUUCUACUUGAGAUUCAUAAUCUAAAGUCUCUUUUAACACUCUCUAAUUCAAUAUAUUAGCUCAUAAAUUAAAUAGACUAAAUUUUAGUGACAUUGUUGUUAGUGAUAUUUUUUUUAUUUUUUUAUUUUUUAAUAAUAUAACAUCUUAAUAGAAACUUUAUAGAGAAGUUAGCAUAAAAUAGGUUUAUGUUUUUAAGGAUAAUAUUAAUGAAACUCCUAUACCUUCUGUGACAUAUUAAUUAGAUUUUCUAGUGGUUGUUAUGUGUGCUUAUUAAUAUUAUAGCCACUCCAAUGAAUGAAGUAUUUUAACUUUUUUUUUUUUUUAUUUUCCAAAAAUUAAAGAUAUUUUCUAUUUCAUAUUCCACAUGAUUAUCUAUUUCAAUAUAAAGUGGUGAUAGUUGCAUUCUUUAUGGAAUAAUUGAUUUUGUAUAAGCUUCUAAAAAAAACAUAAAAGGCUAGAUGCACCUUCAUGGAUAUGGGUAGUUCUAACUGAUAAGCCAUUGAAUUGAUUUGCUCUUGAAUACAAAAUGGUCUAAAUCUUUGAUAGUCCAAUUUAUCACAAAUCUGAUUAAUUUUGAUAUUUCAUCAAAGAAACCAUAUUUUAUCUUGAACUUAAAAAGCAAGAGUUUUUUUUUUUUUUUUUUUUUUUUUUUUUUUUGAAAUCAUCUAAAGUUGCUUUGUAAGAAUCUUGAGCUACUUAUAAAUAAAGCUUCAAAGUUGUUUGAAUCUAUGAUAAUUUUUUUGCAAGAUUUUUAGCUGCUAGAUUUUCAUCUGUUGAUAUAUCUAAUAAAUCAAGCUUUAGAUGGUAACCAUAAUUAACAUAAAAUAAUGUUUGUUGUUGAAAAAAAGUAUAAAAAAAAUAUUAUUAUAAGUAAACUGUAUUAAAGUUAGAUACAAGGUUUAAUCAUCUUGAUAAUAAGAGACUGUACAUUACAAAUAUUGCGCAAAAUUAGAUUAAUUUUUCUAUAAAACUAUAAAUCAAUUGCCUUCCAAAUAAGCCUAAGUCUUGUAAGGUAAGACUCCCAUCAUAUGUACCAAAAUAUAAGCUAAAAUAAACCUAUACUAAUUGAAAGUUUAUUUUAAAUAAUAAUAAGUAAAUAAAUUAUAUUAAUUUUAGAAAUUAUAGUUAUUAAUCAAAUCUAAAGAAAUUCACUCUUAAUCUUCUUUAAAUACUUAAAUUAUUAAUCAAAAACCUCUAUUAUUAAUUUAUACUUAUAAUAGUAAUUUAUUCAACAUACAUACUCAAUUUCUUUUUAAAAUUCUUGAUUUAAUUUUUUGAUUUAUUAUAUUAUAUUAUAUUAUUUAUUAUUUAUUUCAUAUUAAUUUUUAUCCAUUAAAAAUCAUCUAAAUAUAAUUUAUCAUCCAUGAAUGAUUUUUUUAUCUAUUUUUAAAAUUCAUCUAUACUUAAAAUUUAUCUUUGAUUAAAUUUUCAUCUAACAUCUAUUUACGUAAAAUCCUAAUUUAAUUGGCUUCUAGCUUAACUUCAUUUCAAUCUAAUCUAAGUUCAUCUAUCUACUAAUUUAUUUCUUCAAAAGUACUUUCACUCUAAGGCUAUCACCUUAAGAAUUUAUAUAGAGACUUAGCACAUUAAAGGCAUAGGAGGCGUUGUUCCUUCAGUGUUGAUCUUCUUCAAUCAUAGUUUAUUAUUUUUUUGAACUAACUUUUGAAUAAAGACAUCUUCUUUCAGUUAUUUUUCUUUUUCCACUAAAAUUUUAAUUGCACCUUAUACUUAUUCCUGAUCUUGUUGAUAUGCAAGUAGUGACCAAUACACACAAUUGAUGUAGGCAGUCUAUCACAAUAAGAAUGUGACCAAACAUGAAUACUCCUAGCCUUCUUAUGUUGGAAUCACAACUUAUAUUUCUACUUCAAUGCCCAAAAUCAAAGACUUCAAGAGUACCAAAAUAGAAACAAUUAUAGUGCAAGUUGUGUAUGCAGACUAUAGCCAUUAAUAAUAUUUGUUAUGGAAUCUAGUGAGAAGAUGCACCUUCUUAGGAUGAUUACAAAGAAAUUACAAAUUGAAGUAUGGAUAAGCUCAAAUUAGAUGUAGGCAUUGUCAUAACCCAAUGCAAAUCUAACUCAUUCCUUGAAUUCUUUUAAAAUCAAACUUGCAUCUCAAUUGAAUUGAUUCUUUUUAUAUAUAUAUAAGUCUUAAGAUAUAUCCAUAAUGAUUGUAAAUGCUACUAUAAGAUCUACACAAUGUGGUGUAAAUAUAAUACAUCUACAUCGCAACUAUAUAAAUAGAGAGAGAAAGUAUAAGCUUGUUGCUGUCAAUAAUUCAAUCUAUAUGUCACAAAAGCUCAUUGUAUUCUACUAUCUAAAUAAAAUUGAAAAAGAAUUAUCCUACCAACCAAUGCUCUCCUUGCUAUAGGAAUGAGGCUAAGUAACCACCUUUGAGCUCUGAAUUAUACUCUAAAAUUUAAAUAUUUAUUAUUUUCCUAUUUUAUGAUAAUUAAACAUGUUAGAUUAAGAUUUAUAUAAGUGGAAUUUAGUUUUAUAGAAUUUUUAGGAUUACAACCCUUGAUGGUAUAAAUUAUAGCUUAAUUUCUUGAAUUAGGUUAAUUAGGACUAAAGUAAUAAGAGUUAGAAAAUUAGAAUAACAACUUAGUUAGUUUAAUAAUUUAGAAGUUGUUAGUCAUUACUAUAAGGGUUGACUAAAAGCCUAUGAGUGCAUCUAUAAUCAUUCACAUGAUUUAGGAGUUGGAAUUAUAAUUCUUUAAAAGAUUUAGAGAAGUUAGCAAUGAUAAUUUUGGAUCUUCCUCCCAAUUCGACAAAUUCAAGUGGCAUGGUGGUUCUUCUACUUAAUGGGAGUCUUUUUAAUGCAAUGGUGGCAUUGGAUUUACCUUGUGGAAAGAAGAAAACAAGAUCAGCAACCUCUCCUUCAAAAUAUAAGAGAAGCAAUGAAAUUCUCAUUUUGAAGAAUUUCACAAAAAUUGCCAAGAUCCUUGUAAGUAAAAGCUUCCAUGAAAAUUAUAAUUGAGCAUGGAUUGAGGCAUGUGAGUAGUCGAUCUUAGCUUAAAAAGGUGCUUUGAACACAAUAGUGAAGUUAGAUAUACAAAAAAAUGCUUUCUUUACUACUUACAAGAGCCAUCAGCCUUGGUAACGAGAUUGGCUCUUGGAUGAAUGAAGGCCGUAGAUCUAGAUUAGAGAUCUUAAAAAUCAAGGGUGAAGAUGUAGCCACCCUUCUACGAGCCUCUAUUCAAUUAUAUAAGAGAGGCUUGGUUUUCCAAGCCCUCUCUCUCUCUCUUCUUUUGGAUGAAGGGGGGAGCCAUGCCAAAAUUUGGCCAAAAUCCUAAUCUUAAUUUUAUUUAGGUUUUAAUUCUCAUUGUGAACCUUGUGAUUGUGUAUUUAUGAAUUUUGCAUUGUGAAGGAUGGUCAUUAAGUUUUGAAAUAUAUUUCAUUGAGGUAGAUAUCUCCUCGGCCUUUCAAAUAUCCCAAGCGUUUUAAGGGCCUUGGAUUUUCUUCAAUCAGUCACUCAAUUUCUUUUGUUUCAAUGUGAGAUUUUGAAUAGUUGUAGCUUUUGUUUUUAGCUUUCUGAAAAGAUAAGAUUCGCUUGAUUUGAAGUGAGAAAGAAUUUUUGAUGAAUUUUUGAGUUUGAAGGAGUCGAUUGCCUUUGCAGUUUGAAUCAAUCGAGUUUGGAAAGGCAUUUCGUAGUGCUUGAUAAUUUUCUUUAUUUGAAAUUUUGGAAUCAUCAAGCUUUAUAAGCUAAGCUUUGAAAGGCAUAAUUUUUGUUGAAUUUGAAGACAAUAUGAAUUUUUAGUGAAUUUCUAAGUGAAGAGGGUUGGUCACUACGGCAAUUUGGAUCACUCAACUUCAAAGGAGGAAUUCUCACGACUGGAUCAUUAGAUUGCAACGAAGAUUAUUGGAUCAAAAGUGCCUUCAAGUUAGCCUUGCAACAAGCUAAGAAUCAUUCAAAUUGAAGCCGAUUAUAAAUUUUGGCAAAUUUUGGAGUAGAAGAGGGUCGCUUCCUUCAAUCCUUACGUGUUGUCAAGGUACCUUUACUUUCACCUCUCUUAUUUUAUUUUUAUCAUCAUCUUCACAGUGACUUGUAAUCUCCACAUUUCACUUUUUGGCUAAUAAAUUUUAAGUGUAACUUUUAACCUUUAAUAUUCUCACUUUAACUUUUAACUUUAACUUUUAAACUAAACUUUUAAUUUUAACUUUUCACUUAAUUUUUAAACUUAAUUUUUAACUUAACUUUUUUUUAACUUAACCUUUUAAUUUUAAAUUUUAACUUAACCUUUUAAUCUUAAUUUUUAACUUUAAUAUUUUAGAAUUAACUUUUAACUUAACUUUUAAUUCAAACUUAAGUUUUUAUUCUUAUGGUCAAUUAAUAGCAAUAACUUAGUUAAUUAUUUUUAUUAUAUUUUCAUAGUAAAUUUCAUUUAACAUGUUAAUUUAAUGUUGGUAACCAUUUCUUGGAAGGCCUAAAAUUAAUUGAAUUUUUAAUAUAAAGAUUUAAAUUAAUCUAACAAUUACACAAUUGAGAGCUCUCUAAUUCCACCUCUUGGACUUGUUGUGUGGCAUAGGUUUCAUCAAGUGGUGAAAUUUGGCCUCACAUUUUGGUACGUUUGCCGAAAAAUGGAAAUUGCAUUAUUGUUUGUUUUUGUCUUAUUUAUUUGAUCUUGAUUGAUUUUUAUGUGCAAAGUUUUCUUAAGUCGAUGGUCGUUGGGUUUGACUUAUUGUGAGUGAUAUACAUUAGUCUAUGUGGUUGUUUUAGUUAUCCUUGUUCUAGUUGUUCUUGUUCUAGUUCCAUUGGAUGUCUUGUGUUGCAUUUUUGGUAUUGUCAAGGUGCAUUGAAGUGGAAUAAAUGGUAGUCCUUGAUCUUUGUCAAGGUACGUUUCAAAUAAUUCUUCUUAUUUAAUUCACUUAUAGAUGUUUGAUUUUUUUUAUUAAAAAAAUAAUAAAUAAAAACUUAUCUAGUUAAUUUUUUAUUUUAUUAUGCCUAUGAAAGUGAGAAAAUCAACAAAAGUACAAGUUAUUCCAUUAUCAAGUAGGCUAGUAUAAAGCCCUUGGUGAGCUUCUUUUAUUCUUUGGGUAUUAUCAAGUAGGCAAUGGAAAAGACUUAGUUGAUUACGUAUGGAACAAAGUUUAGCCUUCUUUCUCUUUUAAAUUGGUUUAUCGCUUAAGAUCAAACAAGGCCUUAAUCUUCACCAUCUUCUAUUUUACCUCAAUUCAUCUAAAUGCAACCUUGAUGAACCGAUAGGCCUCAGAUGCCAAAGACAAAUCUUGCUACUUUGGCAAUUGGAUCAAUAGGAAGGCUCAUUAGAUCAAAGGCAAGUUUACAACAAGAAAAUCAAGACUUAAUGGAAUUAGAACAAAGAUUGGGAGUAGAUUUAUCAAGAAUGGCAAGUAGAGAAGUGGAGCCUCAUAUAUCUACUCAACUACCUAUCCCAACUUUUAUACAACAAGUUGGACCAUCACAUAUAUCUACAAUUCCACUAGUGAAUGUGGUAAUUAACUCAAGGCAAGCUUCAGCUUCUCUACCAACGAUGUCAACUACUAUACCAUCUCGACCUUCUCAACUAAGGAUGCUAUCACGAGGACUACCUAUAGUAGUACCUUGAGGAUUUUUUGAGAGGACAAUGCCUCUCAAUUUAUCACAAUUCACGGGAUCUAGAGAUGAGGAUCCUACAACCUAUGUAGACAGAUUUUUGGAAUUAAUGACUUCUUAUAUGGUAUCUAAUAAUGGCUAUUAUUUGAUUUGGUUCCCUACUACAUUAGUAGAAGGUGCAUAUGCGUGAUAUAGGUCCCACAAUAUACAAACAUUCAAGAUACGGGAUGAGUUGUUAGUGGCAUUUUUAGAUCAAUUCCAACUUGGAACAGGACAACAAUAAGCAGUUGCUGUUUUAAGAAGUAUGUGCUAGCAUCCCACAGAGAAAAUUUUGGCAUAUAUAAGGAAUUUUAAAGAAGUCUGUAGUAGAUUUGUAGGUGAUUUGCUCCAUGAUACUACUAUUAGAGAUUACUUUCUUAAAAGACUAUACCGGUCUUGAGUAUCUCGAGAAAUUUGGACGCAUAGGCUACAAACAUUGAAUCAUGCAAUCCGAGUUGCUCUAUUCAUUGAAGAGACUGAAUAAGAAAAUAAAAGGGCUAGGGAUCAAAGUGAAGAUCCAAUUCCUAGCUACCUCCCAAUAAGAUAUGACCCUCAUCUAAUCUAUGCACAAAAUUCUAUGAAAGAUUCAAGACAUGAUAUAAUUAAAUAUAAAAUAUAAAGAUAAAAAUAUAAUUAAAACUAAGAUAAAUAUUUCCAAAUGUAGAAAGAUUGAAAAGUCUUGAAUCGAGAUAGAAUAUAAGAGAAACAUUGACAAGAGUAAAGAAGACAUCAUUUGUGCCUCCAUAUAUACUAUCUAUUAAAGAACUAUACAACAAUGUCUUAUAUGCCAUAUAAUAUAUAUAAUUAUUAAGAUAUAUUAUUAAUUUAUAGAGUGAAUUUUUUUUAUAUAUUUAUUUAUAUGAUUAACAUAUUAUAUAAAUAUCAUGGAUAUAUAUAUAUAUCUACUGUAAUCAUUAUCUAGAUAGGUAAAAUUAAAUAAAAAUAGAUUAAUUUCAUAAUACCUUCUAGGGAAGCUUCUUCGAUGCUGUUUUGACUUUAUAUAUGUUUGUCUUUUAUUGAUAGGUUAGAAACUUGAUCAACAAGCUAGCUAUGUAUGACAUGUAUUGGUAGCUUGCGGAACAAGUUAAUUAUGUGGCGGCUAUAUAGAAAACUUGCCUUGCAAGUCAAGAUAUGUGUCAUCUAAAGUCAACACGUUUUUGGAGGUCCUAUAGAACGUUGCCACAUAGAUCUUAAGUAGAUAGUAUAUAUAAAGGCAAGAGUGAAGCCUUCUUAAUAGAGAGUAGAUUAUUUUUUUUCUUGAAGACAUUUGAGCACUUUAGAGGUUGUGGAUUAUCCUUCUUUAAAUUUAUAUUAUCUAAAAAUUCCUUUUUUUUUUCUUUUAAGAUAGUUGGAAGUAAAGAUAUUAAUAUGGUUGAAUCUAAUGAGUCCAAAUUAGAUAAUAUUACAAAUACAUUGAAUUCUUUAUCUUAUAAAACUAUUAAAAUUGAAGGAUUUUUUGUAAGAUUUCAUAGUAAUGCAAGACUUGGAAUAGUUCAACGUGUAAUGCAAUCACUUUUUCAAACUUCUACAUCCAAGGAGGUGGUGGCAGUUAUACAUCAACAAAAAAAACUUAACUAUUUAAUAACAUAAUGAACCUUAGAUUACUCUUCUAAGAAUAUUUAAUGGCAUAUAUUCUAAGUUUUGAAGAUUUACUAAUCAAAUUUAAUUAAUAACUUUUCUAUAACAUGAGCGCUCUCCAAUAAAAGAAUUGGGAGUUGGUUUAAUUAGAACCUUGUUUACAAAAAAAGACUUAAUUUGGUUUUUUUCUUUAUUUGAAAAAAAAAUCUUCAAUUUUGAAUAACUUUGAAGCUUUUUUUAGAAGCAUUUGAAAAAUAUGUCAAGGCUUGAUGGAUGACAAUAAAGAUUUGAUCAUUGUUAAUCUUAAAAAUUAUAAUUUAUAAAAUAAAGAUAUUAUUUGAUAAAAAAAUGUAUUAUAGAAAAAUAUGAAAAAAUAGACUAAUAUGAAAGAAUAAAAGAAAAAAAUAAAAUUUGAUAUAAAAAAUAAAUUUAUUGAAAAAAGUUUAAAUAAAAUUAGAAAAAAUAAGAAAAUAUGAAAAGACAAAGAAAUUAGCUGCCUAUGUAUUUAAAAGAUAAGUAGAAAAACCAUCUUUAAUAAUUGUGGUACUUAGAGAUAAAUUAGUUUUUAUAUAUUUAACUAUUAUUCGAAAAAUUUACUAUAAAAGCUAUAAAUAGCUUCAAAGCUAUAUUAUUAUGAUAAAAGAAAAUUAUAAUAAAAUAAAAUAUAAUUGACAUGCUUGUAUGUGAUUUUUAUACACUUUUGGUUUAAUAAUAAGUUAUAAGAAUUGCAAGAUAAAAUAAAAAUAUGGAUGUUUGAAGAUUAGAUUGAAAAAAUUAAAAAUAAGAUAAAAUAAAGAUAUAGAUGUAUGAAGACUAGUUUUAAAAAGAUGAAAACAAGAAGAACAAAUAGAUGGUUGAAGAACUAGAUUAAAAAAAAAGAUGAUAUGAUUAAAUCCAUGAAGAUAUGAAUAUUGAAUGAAUAGAUUGAAAAAGACUAGACAAAAUUAAUAAAUAAAAUUAACAUAUAAAUUGAAGAUAAUUUUCAAAUUGAAUUAUCAAACUACAAUUUUGACAAAACUAAGAGCUGUAAAAGAUAAUUACAUGGAUAGUUCUUAUGUAGAAACAUAGAAGGAUACUUGAGAUUUUGAGGUGCAAGAAUCUAGGUGUUUAUUUGGUGACUAUGCUUGAGAUAUGUCGCUAUUUUUGAUAAUUAAGUUUAUAAAAUUUAUAGAAUUCACAGAGUUUUUUUUAUAGAAGAAUGAGUGAUAUUCUUAAAUGGAACUUAUCAACUUUAUAACAAGUAUUAAGAACCAUAAAUGAAGAUAGUACGAAAUAAUUCUAUAUUGUACACCAAAUUAAAAGAAUUUAAUAAAUAAGAUAAAAAAAAACGAAAUAAUAUCUAAUUUUAGUCAAAAAAAGAUAAACAUUCAAGAAGAAUCUAUAUGAAGAAAUGUUGUAUGAAAAAAAACUUUGGCAAUUAAACAAUCAAAAAACGGCAUAAAAUUAAUGACUAUAAAAGUCAGACACUACAUUAAUUAAUGAAUCAAGAAAUUGGAUCUCCUUGAAGUCUAAAAACUCCAAAAAAAAUAAACUAUUAAAUUGAAAUAUAUUUAUAGAAUAUAUAAAUAAAAAGAAGAAAAAAAAGAUAGGCAAAAUGAUAAAAAAAUAACAAUAAAAAAUUAGUUCUUUUAAAAAACUUAAGUUAAAAAACUUAAUUGAUGAUUUAGGUUCUAGUAGUGAAGAUGAUACAAAUUCAAUAAAUAAAUAAAAAAAAGAUUCUUCAAUCAAAGGAAAUUAGUAAAUUUUAUUAUAAGUAUAGAAUCAAGAUAAUUUUUAAUAUAGUCUUUUAGAUUAUUUAUACCAUUGCAACAAAGAGCAAUAACCAAUAUAUCAUUAACUAUUAGACAUAUUAAAGUAAGAUUGCUCAAAUUUAAAGGCAACAGAGAUCCAAAAAUUUACAUCAAAGAAUUUAAUAAUAUUUUUUAAGCUAACAAGGAAACAACAUAUGAAGAUAAAUUAAUUUUUUUUAACACUUAAAAAAAAGGCAUUGGUAUAAUAUGUUUAAUGUACUUUAAGACAAUAUAUUUCUUAAAUGGUCUUAAAAAUGUAUUUAUUAUUUUUUUCAAAGAAAAAAAGAAUGGUAGAAAAGUCAUCAAUAGUCUUUUACAUCUCAAACA